CAAAUGCCCCUAUUGCUUCAUGAUCAAGAAUCAAAACUUGGGGUGCCCAUCCUCUGAUAAUUAGUCCCACGCCUUCCAUUCUUUCCUCAAAUCCUUCAGGUAACCAAUCUUCCUUGUCUUCUUGACCCUUUUUGUUUCUUCUAACUACCCAGAUAAACUGCUGACCAGAAGCUUCGAGACCUGCUGCAAUCUCCUUAAGCUGAGAGUCACUGAAGUUGGUCGUGCUUCCAAAGCAAAUAUAAACAACUGAAUUUGGUUUCUUUGAGUCGAGCCACUUCAAACACUCAUGGUGAUCAAUUGAGGUUUCUUUUCCUCUUCCUGCUUUAUCUUCAGUGUCUCUAUUGCAUAGUGAAACCGGGCCUACAUUCCAAGCCCUUCUGCCCAAGACCUUCUUGUAGUAAUCAGCGUAAGCUGGCUCAAGCUCAUAAAAGCUGUUGACAACAACACCAAAGCUCCUCAAUUCUGCUUCUUUAGAUGCUUUCAAGAACUUGCUAAAGUCAUUUUCAACAUUUUCUCUUACAUCAUCUGGCAGUUGCUUCUUUGUCAACUUUAUAUCACCAGGAAGAUCAGGCACCACGAAUGGUUCGGAAUCUGAUGAAACUUUCUUGUGUGGCUCAUAAAGCCUCACACAUUCUGAAGCACUUAAAGCAAAGUUACUAGUGCCAUGAAACACUAGCCUCGGAAUUCCAAAUUUGGCAGCAGCAUCAGUAGCCCAGGGAAAGAACACAUCAGCAACAAUGCAAUCAGGGUGGCAUUCUUGUAGCACCUUCUCAAAGGGUGCUUGAAGAAAGGUUGUGGCCUUGAUAAACUUUAUGGUCAUUUCCCUUGCAUUUUCGCUGAAAAUGAAGGCAUCUGUAUUUUCAUAUCCUUCAGGCAAACCUGCCUCUGCCGCAGGGAAUUUGAUGGUUAAGAUAUUAAUAUCAAAACCCAACUCUUUGGUUUUUUGGAUUGUUUUCGAAAAGAAAGGCGCGUUUAGAGGAGUGGUGAUGAUAGUUGUCUUUAUGCCUCGAGAAGCAAAAAGCUUGGCCAUGUCCACGGAUGGUAUCAUGUGGCCAUGAGCGAAGAAGGGUAAGAAGAAAAUGUGCAAUUGGUGACCCAAACUACCCAUCUGGCCUUGUAGGAUAAAAAAAGAACUGAACUGAAUUUGUCAGUGAAAGAUGGGAGUGACGAUGAAGAUGAAGAAAAGCUUGUGCUGAUUUUGUUUUUCUAUGCUUAUGGACCGAAUAUCUUCCUGGACAUGAAUUGGUAUUUAUAAACAGACAGGUCUAGGCAUCUGAGAUUUUGAUGCAAGAGUCUUCUUUAACUAGCUAGAUUUUUCUACACACACGUCAUUGCUCCUGUCACAAAGUAAUCAAUUCUAGAAGAACGUACUGGGAAAGUGUGAACAGGUAAUCUGAACUUUUGAUCCGCACAAAACAAAUUUCCUUAAAAGUUAAAAGUGGCAAGAGAGUUACGGCAAAAUUAAGAGAAUAACAACGUCCACUACUGCAUUAUAUUUUUUUUCACUUUUUUUUUCUUUGUUUAUUACAUAAUAAGGAUAAUAAUUUAAUCCAUUCAAGAUGGUUAUCGAUCCCGAACCAAACAUAUAUAUAUAUAUAUAUAUAUAUAUAUAUAUCAUUUAAUUUAUAUUAAAUAAUUAAUUAUUUGAAUCUAAAAACAUGAUCCAAAGUAAAAUAAGAAUAUGUUCCUACUAGAACAAAUUAUAUUUAAUGAUUGCCCAAUUCCGUGAUUAAUAGCUCCCAGUAUUGCACCUGCAUGCGUAGAACACUCUAGACGACUUCUUUAUGAUGACAUACGCUCUUACAUCACGACCCUAAGUAGAAGACAAAAGAGUGAUACACUCAAGACGACUUCUUGAUUCCUGAAGGCGGUGGAGGCUUGAAGCCUUGAACUAGUAAUACAUUCAUGAAUGUGUGAGCUCCAAUGAUGCUCGAACACAAUUUCACUUUUUUCCUACCCUAGAAUUACUUGGCAAAUAAGCUUUAUAUAUAUAUAUCAGGAGAUCAAUGCGGUAGAAAAUCACUUUUGACGGACCUCCAAAUUUCAGGAUGCAUAAUUUUGACGCUUUUAAAAAAUUGGAGUACAAAAUACAAAACUUUAUACAGCAGCAGCAGUAAGCAGGUAUUUUUUAUUUAAAAAUAUAUCAAGAUAUGUUUUUCUGUUAUGUAUUCGGGAGCUUCUUCAACCUCUGCUUCGCUUUAUAACCAAGCUUUGUGAGCAGAGAAUGGCUUAUUCACACUGCACCAAAUUUCACUGAAGCAUGCAGUUUGUUUCCAUACAAGAAGCGCUGGAUGAGAGCUGGCGAUCAACCAUAAAAGAAAGAGAUUAAGGGAGAUGGUAAGGGUUCAAAGCAUGUAAUAAUUCAUCAGCAGCAUGCGCUCUCCUCUCUCACUAAACAACAUUCUAUAAAAUCAAGUUCCCUGUAAAAAUCUGAAAUCUUCCUACUGCUUGCUUGUUUUCAGUGGCGCCUGCCUCUUAAUUCUUCAAUUAGAGCAUUCAAAUUAGAGUAAGAUGAACCAUCUUCUUCGAUAGCCCUCUUUGCCAUUCCUCCAAGGGCCUCAACUCUGCUUCUCAUUUCCUUUGCUUCUUCACCUGUCAUGAUUCGAGUUACGGCCUUUUCUACGGCUCCACUCGUAAUUUUAUCCCCGUAUACUGUAACCCAAUGUUGAACACCAACAGCCACACCAAUUUUUAGCACGUCAGUCACCAGCUUCUCAUUAAAGAAUUGCUCUGCGGAAACUGGCCAUGUUACCAUUGGCUUCCCGGCAGCUAUGCCUUCAAUGGUCGAAUUCCACCCGCAAUGAGUCACAAACCCCCCUAUAGCUUCGUGAUCGAGAAUCACUACUUGUGGCGCCCAUCCUCUUAUAAUCAGUCCCUUGCUUUCCAUUCUUUUCUCAAAUCCCUCAGGCAACCAUUCCUCUUUAUCUCUAGCUUUCUUGUCUUUCCUGACAACCCAAAUAAACUGCUGCCCUGAAGCUUCAAGAGCUAUUACAAUCUGAAAGUUUUUUAAGUUUUUAUUUAUAAUGAAAGGAAUAGAUUGUAUAUCGUUCAUAUCCCGAAGCGGCAAAGGCCUAUUUUCUUAUUGCUUGAAAUUUGAAAAUCUUUACAAAUAUUCAGAAACAAAAGAAACUAAAAUGAUAACUUAUAGCAACAUAUCAUGCUGCACAAACUAACAGAUUAAUAAACUUAUGGAGACUAGAACAACUCUUUAUUAUUGCAGAAAAAUCAUAACAGAAAAAACAGAGUUUUUGACAGCAAUUUGAAGCAAACUUCAACACUCCUCCUUGCUUUAAAAGCUGCAAACUCCUAUCAUUUAUCUUAGAAACUUAAAGCAAACAAAUCAACUAAUUGAUCUUCAGACUUGCAAUAAAUCAACUUAACAUCACCAUUUCUUUGCACCUCACGUAAAAAAUAAAGUUUGAUGUUAAAGUGUUUGGUUUUUCCAUAAAACACUGGAUUGUGAGAGAUUGUUAUGGCUGCUUGAUUGCCAACUGAGAUCUCUGUUGCUUCUUCUUCCUCCAUGUGUAAAUCAAGUAAAAUCUUCUGAAGCCAUAGUGCUUAAUUUAUUGUUGUUAUGGUUGCAAUGAACUCUGCCUCUGCAGUAGAUUGUGCUACAAUAUCUUGCUUCUUGGAUGACCACGAAAAUAUUGUUGAUCCUAGAUUGAAAUAAAAUUCAGAAGUGUUUUUUCCUGUCAUCAAUGAAUCCACCCCAAUCACUAAUUCAGAAGUGUUUGUUCCUGUCAUCAAUGAAUCCACCCCAAUCACUAUCAGAGAAACCAUGCAAUCUUAACUCUUGACACUUCAAAAAUUUAACACCAAAAUUAUAUGUCCCUUUGAUUUAUCUCAAAAUUCUUUUGGCUGCUCUCAUAUGUAUUUUACUUGGACAAUGCAUAAAACGAGAUAGAAGGCUUGUUGCAUAAAGUAUAUCAGGUCUGGUUGCUGUUAAAUACAGUAAACAACCAAUCAGGGUUCUGAAUUUCUGUUCAUCAACUCUGGGAGUUCCAUCUUCUUUGCUGAAUUUAUCUUUUUGAUUCAUUAAAGUGGUUGUUGGUUGACAGUUCUCCAUAUGUAAUUUCUUCAGGAUUUCCUUAGCAUAUUUCCUCUGGCAGAUGAAUAUUUCUUAUUUGUUUUGCAUGAUUUACAUUCCCAGAAAAAAUCGCAUGAGACCAAGAUCGAUCAUUUCAAAAACUUGCACCAUCUUCUGCUUCAAUUCUCCAACCUGCUGUAUAGUACUUCCUGUCACUAAAAGAUCAUCAACAUAGAGUGAUAUUAUGAGAAUAUCAACUAGUUCCCAUAUGCAGUUCUUUUCAAUCAUGGAUAUCUCCUCUUGCAUUGCUUUCUGCCACUCUAGGUUCUACUGAGCUUCUUCAUAGCCUUCUGGUUCGCAGACUGCUACAUUACUCCUUUGGUAAAUGUCUUCAAGAGAUCUGGUGCCUCUGAUUGGUGAAUCAUCAAUUGAUUCAUCCUAGAAUUGAAGUUUGAUUUGAUCUUCCAGCAACUCAUUUCUUUGUGAGUCUCCCCAGUCCCAUUGCUCUUCUUUAUGGAAAUGAACAUUCCUGGUAAUGGCCAUCUUCUAAGUUUGAUGAUGAUAUACUUUGUAGGCUUUAGAAACGGUACUAUAGCCAACAAAGAUACCCGGCAUAGCCUUCUUGUCAAACUUGUCCCUCUUGAUUUGUGGAACAUGAACAAAACACUGCCAAAGAUUUUAAGAAAGCUUAGUGAAGGUUUGUAAUUAUACCAAACUUCAAAAAGUGUCUUUUCUUCCAACAAUUUUAUUGAAAGUCGGUUUUGAAGAAAAAUAGUUGUGUUAGCUGCUUUUGCCCAAAACGUCUUUGGCAAAUUCUUUUCAUGUAGCAUGCAUCUAACCAUCUCUAUUAUGUAUAUGUUUCUCCUCUCACUGACUCCAUUAUGUUUUGGAGCGUAAGGAGCAAUGAGUUGAUGUUCAAUGCCAGCAUCUUCACAGUAGAGAUUUAAUUUUAAUGAAGUAUAUUCUUUACCAUUGUUUGAGCGAAUGGCUUGAAUUCUGCAGCUGCUUUGAUUCUCCACCUUCUUCUUGAAUCUCCAAAAAAUCCCAGCUACUUCUGACUUGUAUUUCAUAAAAAAAAUCCAACACAUUCUAGUGAAAUCAUCAAUAAAGAGAAUGUAAUAUCGACUAUCUUUUAGUGAAGGUGUGCUUAGAGGACCGACAACAUCAUUAUGGAUUAAUUGAAGUUUCUGUGUAGACCUCUAAGUUGAUUUUGGAAAUAGUUUCCUAUUUUGCUUACCAAACUGAUAGGCAUUACAAUUUGGUAAAUGAUCAGUGAAUGAAGGCACACCUUUUACAACAUCAUGCUUCUUUAUAUUGAGCAUUUGUUGUUGAUGACAGUGUCCCAACCUUUUAUGCCAUACUUCUAUGUCAUUUAGCUUUGUUGAAAAAGUUGUGUGCUCCUCCUCAAAUGGUAUAAAUGAGAAACUUUUGCCUCUCAUCCUGGCUUGCAAUAUUUUUUUGGCCAGCAACAUCAAAUAUAUAACAAGAUUUAUCUUCAAAAAUCACCUUUAUACCUUUGUCUAUUAAUUGCCCAACACUUAACAAAUUCUGAUUUAUAUUAGGUACAUGAGAACAUCAAAAAUUGUUUUUGUACCUGAGUUUGUUGUGAUAACAAUGGUCCCUUUUCCUUUAGCUGCUAUACAAUCACCAUUUUCAAAUUUGACUUUAGCAACUUCAGUAGAUUGCAAAGUUUUGAAGAGACUUUUAUCAAAAGCCAUGUGGUUUGUGCAACCAUUAUCAAUCAGCCAGUGAUUUGAGGAGGUUUGAACUGAAAAACACAUGGCUACAAACAUCUGAUCUUCAUCAUCUUGACUAGCAACUUGAGCAUCUUCUUCUUGUUUCUGAGGUUUUGUCUUGCAGAUAAUUGCUUCAUGUCCAAGUUGGUUACAUUUGCUACACCUUGCAUCAGGUCUCUUCCAGCACUUAAAUGGUGGAUGACAUAUCUUGUUGUAGUGUUGACAUGGUGAAAAAUUUCUCUUAAUAAAUUUUCCUUUGCCCUGAAAUUGACUGGCAGUAGUCUUAUUACUGCUUGAAGCCUAGUUUUUUUUUUUAACUUCUUCUUAUUAGAAUCUAGAUACUGGACUUGUAAAGCACCUUCUGUAACACGGGCUUGCCUCAUAAGUCUUCUUUGCUCCUGAGCUUGUAAGGCAUUUAAAAGUUCUGCCAACGUAAUCUUAGACAAAUCUUUUGUAUUCUCCAAUGUAGUAAUUGAAGCUUCAUAUUUUUUUGGUACUGUAACCAUAAUUUUUUCAACAAUUCUAAAGUCUGUAAAUGAUAUUCCCAACAAUCUGACUUUGUUAACUAUUCCAAACAACCUAUCUGAGUAUUUCUUUAUGGUCUCAGAUUCUUUCAUUCUUUGCAGCUCGAACUCUCAUAUCAAUUUUAGGCUUUGCAUUCCACAAAUUCUUUCAUCCCCUGCAUAUUCCUUCUUCAGAUAAUCCCAAACAUCUUUUUGCUAAUUUAAGAGACAUGAUUCUUUUGAAAAUAGUUGUUGAAAUAGCAGCAAAUAGACAUGCUUUUGCUUUUUGAUUUCUUGGUUUUCCUCUCUCUGUGACUCUUGAUCUAGGCCAUGGUUGGAUUAUUCGGUAAUGGAGGAACAUCAUAGUCCUCUUCAAUUGCCUCCCAAAGAUCUAAAGCCUCCAAAUAAGUCUCCAUUCUCACUGCCCAGAGUUGAUAGUUUUCUCCUUCAAAGAUAGGAGAAGAAAUGUGAGAAAAACUUGCUUCAGCCUCCAUUACAGGUCCCUCAAGAAAACUGCUCUGAUACCAAAUGAAAGUGUUUAAGUGAAGAAAGAAAGUAGAAGAGAAUUAAACCAACAAAUUAUUAUUACUGUUUUAUUUAUAAUGAAAGGAAUAUAUUGCAUAUCGUUCAUGAAAUCUUUAAAAAUAUAUAGAAACAAAAAAAGCUAACUUAUAGCAACAUAUCAUGCCAUGAUUUGUUAACAAACUAACAGAUUAACAAGCUCCUAGAGACUAGGACAACUCUUUAUUAUUGCAGAAAAAUCAUAACAGAAAAAACAGAGUCUUUGACAGCAACUUGAAGCAAACUUCAACACAAUCUCCUUUAGCUGAGAAUCACUGAAAAUGGCUACAGUUUUAAAGCAUAUAUAAACAACUGAAUUAGGCUUCUUUGAGUCGAGCCAUUUCAAACACUCAUGUUCGUCAAUUAAAGCUUUCUUUCCUCUUUGUGCUUUAUCUUCAAAUUCUUUAUUGCAUAGCGAAAUCGGGCCUAUGUGCCAUGCCUUCCUCCCUAACUCCUUGAAAAAAUUAGCAUAAUCCAACUCGAGCUCAUAGAAACUAUUGACGAUGUUAGUUAUUGAGUUAGGUCCGGUCUGCCCAUGAUGGAUGGGUCUGGUCCAAGUAUUUAGAGGAGUUACUAAAAAAAGUAAUUGCUUCCUCUACUUAUAUAAAUAGGGACAUAACUCAUAUGUAGAUGUAAGUUUUCAUUAUUGAAAGAACAUAAUUCUCUCUUUCUCUUCUCCCAUCUUGGACUCUCUGCAUUAACUUGACAAGAUUUACAAAGACGUUCGUACUAUGGAAUAUCACUUUGGUUCUAGUAAUUGAAAUGACACUGAAGUUUUCCUUUCCAUUCUACAUUGGUAUCAGAGCCAUGGUUUUUAAUAUUAUUUUUAUGCAGUACAUCUAUUACUAUAUAAAUGUUAGAUGUAAAUUUUAUGUUAAAAGAAUUCUUCCAUUGAGUCUUGGAUUUACAAAAUUUUAUGAAGUAAUUGAGUUAUGAUUUUAUCUUUUCUAUCAUUAAUUAGAAAAUAUCUUUUGUAAACAAUAGUUGUAUAAUUGUUAUUGAUAAAACAAAACCGUGACCACACACAUGUAACUACCAUAUGUAGUUGAAAAAAAAAACAAAAGAACACAUAUUUAAGAGAUGUGUAACUACCACUUGGCAGUUAAAAAUAAUAAUAAUAAUAAUAAGGCAAUUAAUAUUAAUUUAUUGUUAAUAUAAAUUGUCUAAUUAAAUAUUAAGUAUAAUAUUUAUGUGCUUUUAGAAUAUUUUGUCACAAUGGAUAAGCACCAACAAAUUGAUCAUUUAUUGAGUUAUGCCUUUAAUCAUGUUCAUAAAAUUCAAGAGCACAUUGAUUAUAUAUAUAAUUAGAUGAGUGGACUGACUAUGAGUGGUGUUUAUGAAUUCUACAUGGAACAUCAAAUGUUAAUCGUUCUCAAUUCUCUGCUUGAGAAAUGGAUGUCGGUGCGACUAUCAUUGGAAUAUAGGCUGGAAUCCUUAGAUUUCAACAAUCUCAUUGAUGAAAUGCUGCUUGAGAGGGAACGUCAGUAUACCAAAAUAGGUAUAUGAUGCAUUGGAAGAAGCGCAGGUCGUUUGGAUGCUGCUGCUAAAUUCAUUCCAUAGUUUGAGCAGAAUGAACAUAAAGGAGAUGACUUUGAUGAAAUGGAUGAUGUAAUUGGAGACCCUACUUAUGUGCCUACAAUAUAAAAUAAUUCUAAAAUUUAUUAUUCUUAAUAUUGUAUUUUUUUUAAGAUAAUUGGUUGUUUAUUGUGAACUAUAUAUUUUAUGUAAUUUAAGUUUUAAUUACAUUAGAUGCAUAUAUAUGAUAAUAUUUGCAACCUGAUUAGUGAGAGUUGUUAGUUGAAACUAAUAACUAUAAUUUUGCACUCAUUUAAAUUUUCAAUAAUAAUUAAACCAUACAAAUGGUAAAUGAUUAAAUGUUUAACAUUCUUUUCAUUUGUAUUGUAUGUGUUAGAUUAUUAUUUGUUUAUUUUAGAAUGGAGUGGCAAAAUAUGUCAAUUAAAUUGUACUAGAUACUAAUAUUUGUAAUUGCUGUCAAUAACGCUUAAUAUGGCUGCAUCUAAGAGUAUUAUUGUUGAUUUGAACUAUGAAGACAAACUAAGUGAAAAGAAUUACGAUGUUUGGCAUCGUAAGAUUGAGUAUCUCCUGGAAGAGCAAGAAAUGCUGGAAACAAUCACACAACCGAUGGCUGAACCUGAGUAAGGAAACAUUGCUCAGCACAGGCUUGAUAUGGAAGCAUAUCAAACCUAUAAACUUAAGGAUCGUGUAGCUCGUAUUUUAAUAUUGAGCAACAUGAGAAAUGAUAUAAUGCUGCGUUUUGAAAUGCAUCGUUCAGCUCAAUAUGUUUAGGAUGCAGUAAAGAUUUAGUAUGGAGGAACCUUCACUACCAGACUUCGCCAGUUAACCCUCAAAUUCAAUAGUUAUAAGAAGUGCCAAAAUCAGACGAUGAGAUAGCAUCUUAUGGUCAUGUCUAACAUGAUCAAUGAAUUAAGGGGUGUUGGGCAUGAGAUGACUGAUGAGCAACAAGUCUAAGCAGUUAUCCGCUCUUUACCAAGUAAUUAGAAACACAUGUGUGUUAACCUUACCCACAAUGACAACAUCAAGACAUUUGAUGAUGUUGCUCGUCAUUUUGAGCUUGAAGAAGAUCGAAUUCACGCUGAGAAGCCUAUAAACAAGGCUUUUAUAUCUGAGACUAAGAUGCAUGGAGCAUAUGGCUCUAAAUAUAAAAAGGGUAAGACAAGAGAGGAAUAGAAGCAAGUAGUAGUGGACAUAAGCGCAAGCGUGAGAACGGGGCAGUAAGAAAGGCAAGAAUAUGAAUUGUUUCAAUUGUGGUAAACCUAGAUCACUUUACUCGUGAUUGCACUAAGCCAAAGACUCAGGAGCAACUGACCACGUAGCAGGGGAUCGAACAACCUUUGUGGAAUUUCAUCGAAUUCUAAAGGGAAGUAGAUACUUAUACAUGGGGAAUAAUGCUUCCGCUACUGUGCUUAGGAUUGGUACCUGCAAAUUGGGUUAGCGGGGUGGUUACACAUUUUAUCUUCAUGAUGUACUAUAUCUACGCUCCAAAAGUUCGAUGGAAUUUUGUGCAUGUUCUUACUUUACUCCAAUUGGGCUUUAAUAUUGCGUUUGUUGGUUGUUGUGUAAAAAUAUAUCUGGAUAAUAUUCUUUUAUGGUUCUAGUUUUGUAUUAAAUGGUUUUAUGGUGUUAGACACUGUUAAUGUAUCUAUUAAUUAUGAUGCUUCAAUUUAUGUUGUUCAAAAUUCCAGCAUUAUUAAUGAUAGUAAUAUCAUAACUAGGCAUGCUAGAUUAUGACACAUUAGGCAAGAUCGAUUACAUAGAUUAGCAAGAGCUAGUCUUUUAGGAUCACUUACCAAAGAGAAAUUGCCCAUUUGUGAGCAUUGCCUUGCUGGAAACGCAACUAGAUUACCAUUUGGCAAAGCUAAAAAAGCAAGUAGUCCAUUAUAGCUUAUUCAUUCAGACAUUUGUGGCCCAAUGAAUGAGAAGAGGGCAAGGCAUGAAGGAAAUUAUUUCAUUACAUUUAUAGAUGAUUUUACAUGGUUUGGUCAUGUUUAUUUGAUCUCACAUAAAUCUGAAGUAUUGAAUUGCUUCAUUCAAUACACCAAUCUGGUGGAGAAUAAACUAAACACCAAGAUCAAGACUUUAAGAACUGAUCGAGGAUGUGAAUACCUAUCUGAUCAAUUUAAAAUUUUUAUGAUGAAAAGGUUAUAGCUAGGCAGCUAACUGUUCCUCUUACUUCACAACAAAAUGGUAUGACAGAAAGGAGAAAUAGAACCCUAUUUGACAUGGUUAGGUCAAUGAUGGCACAAGCUGACUUACCAAUUUCUUUUUGGGAAGAUGCAUUGUUGACUGCUGCUUUCAUACUUAAUUGUAUGCUCUCUAAAUCUAUCUUACCCACCCUAUAUGAACUAUGGAAUGGUGUCAAACCUAAUCUAGGUUAUUUCCAUCCAUGAGGGUGUGCAACUUAUAUUCACAAUACUUCUCAUGAAUAUCAGAAACUUGGUCGUAGGGGGAAGAAGUGUAUCUUUAUACGAUAUUCUAAACAUUCCAAAUGAUUUGUUUUUAUGAGUGAAAAAGCUUAUGGAAGAGUGACGAAGAUUGAAUCGCGUGAUGUUGUAUUCUUAGAAAAGGUUUUUCCAAAGACAUGUGAGGUUGAAAAAGAUUUUCAAUUAUAUGAAAUGCAAAAUCUAGAUUAUGGCGCAACAAGCCAUUCAGCAGAGGACUUAUAUGAAACUUUUAAUCCUUCUAGAAAUAGUAGGAGUGAUAUUUUAUUUAGUCCUAUUCUCAUAGAGUAAGAUCAUUAGCAAUCUCAACCUCAAAGAAGCAUUCGUGAACCAAUUCCUCGUCGUCGAUUUGAGAUUAAGGGGGAAGCGUUCAUGAUUGCUCCACAAGAUGAUGAAGAGCCUAAAACAUUCAGUCAUGCUCUAUCUGUUCCUAAAGCAAAAAAAUGGAUUAAAGUUAUGGAAGAAGAAAUGGAGUCGAUGAAAAUUAAUCAAGUCUAGGACUUGGUUGAUUUAUUGUCAGGACGGAGAUCCAUUGAAAAUAAAUGGGUUCUUAAAAUUAAACGUAAGACGGAUGGGUUAAUAGAAUGUUAUAAGGCUCGACUAGUAGUGAAAGGCUACACUCAAGAAGAGGGAAUUGAUUAUGAAGAUACAUUCUCACCAGUUGUGAGGAUUACUUUAGUUCGCCUCAUUUUAGCUAUACUCGCACAUAUGUACCUAGAGUUAUACCAAAUGGACGUUAGAACUAUGUUUCUCAGUGGAGAACAAAAUAAGGAGAUCUAUAUGGAUAAACCUUUAGGAUUCGAGACUAAAGGACAAGAGCGUAAAAUUUGCAAGCUUAAAAGAUCUAUAUAUGGUUUUAAACAAGCUUCUAGACAAUGGAAUGUUAAAUUUCAUCAAGCUAUCCUUAAGGAUGGUUUUACAAUGAUGGAAAAAGACCAUUGCAUAUAUUUAAAAUGUUCUAACAAUAGUUUUAUAAUAUUGUCCUUAUAUGUUGACGACAUCUUAAUAACUGGAAAUAGCAAAGAGAUGAUUAAUACUACUAAAAAGUGGUUAUCAUCAAACUUUAAUAUGAAAGAUAUGGGUAAGGUUAGCUAUGUUCUUGGUGUGAAAAUCAUAAGAGAUCUCGCUAAAUGGCUUGUGGAUUUAACUCAAGAGAAUUACAUUAAAAAGAUGUUAGAGCAUUAUCACAUGCAAGAUUGCAAACCAACGAACACCUAUGUUGAUAGAAGCUUAAGCCUAAGCCGUGAUAUGUUUCCUAAGACUCUAAAAGAAAAGGAGAAAAUGUCUAAAGUACCUUAUGCUAGUGUUGUCGGUAGUUUGAUGUAUGCAAUAAUGUGCACACAUCCCGAUAUAUGUUAUAUCGUUGGAUUGGUUAUCCAAUAUCAAUCAAACCCUGGUCAAAAACUCUGAAUGGUAAUCAAUAGGAUCAUACGAAGGCUUACAAUCAUUGAAUAAUGAAUAAAUACCAUUACUAUAUCAUGUUAUUUAUUAUUUGUUUUAUAGAAUAUAUUGUGAGUAUCAUAUAGUACAAUUUGUGAAAGUAUGUCGAUAGACUUAAAUUGGCUCACUCACAUGAGCAAUAACCUGUAGCACUAGUAAGAUGAGUAGAGAUGAGAUUAUUUAAUUUUUAAUGCUCAAUAAACGACUUGGGCGCAGUGGGAACAAUUUUAACUCAAAAUGAUUAUUAACAUGUCACCUUAGUUGGGACCAAGAUGAGGUUCUUAAAUAAAAGAAUCGACAUGAAUGAAUUCCCACCAUUCAUGUGUCUAUUAUAAUUGAAGUCGAGUAUAAAAUUAUUCAUUUGCCACUAAUGACAAAUGAGCAAAUGAGAAUUUCUGAUUUGAAGUCUAUGUUUUUAGCAACAAGACUAAGAUUCAUAUGAUGUAUUUUCUAUAACAAGGAGAGCAACGACAUACACUCUUCGUCUUAAUAAAAGAAAAGAGUAAGCUCCACUAUAGCAUGUAUUUCAUACUAUAUGUGCUAGCAACCAUUCCAGAAAUAAAGAAUGGAUCCCUGCUUCUUUAUUAUGUAAGUCCUGCAGAUCAUAUCUAAACUCUUAAAAUCUUACCCUUUGUGACUUUUGACUAUAUCAUGAGGUAAUGUAUUAAUGAUCGCUACUUUAGGAGUAUAUCCUAUGGUCAUGGAAUGAUUCGACUUAAAGAAAUACUCUUAGGAAAGUAAGUAAUUUAGAUCUGAUUGAUAUGAGAGCGAAAGAAAAAUAAUUUUAGUUUUACACUUGUUACUUGUAUUCACCGACCGAGAUUAUAUCACUUGAAUAGAUUUGAUAUGAUUUAGAAAACUUGUAAAUAUAAGGAUGGAUUGAGUAUGAAAUUCUUGAGGGAUUGAAUUAUAUUCAGUCAUGUGUAACUAAAAAUGCUUGGGGUAUAUUAGUACAUUUUAAGGAAUAAUUAAUUAUGAGGUUGAUGUCUCUUAUAUGGCCUGUAUUAGGUUUAUAUAUUGGAGCUCCUUUCACAGUGUGCUUCAGGUCCUACGGUCUGUUCGUCAAGUAUGAAAUUCUUGAGUAAGUUUGAAGUAUAAUGUAUUAGAGAGAUUCAGUCCUUUAUGGGCGAGUGGGAGAUGUUGGUUAUUGGGUUAGGCCUGAUCGGCCAAUAAUGGAUAAGCCUGGUCCAAGUAUUUAGAGGAGUUACUAAAAAAAGUAAUCGCUUCCUCUAUUUAUAUAAAUAGGGACAUAACCGAUAUGUAGAUGUAAGUUUUUAUUAUUAAAAUAACAUAGUUCUCUCUUUCUCUUCUUCCAUCUUGGACUCUUUGUAUUAACUUGACAAGAUUUACAAAGACGUUCGUAGUGUGGAAUAUCACUAGUAAUUGAAGUGAUGCUAAAAUAAGUUUUCCUUUCCAUUCUAUAGACGACAAUCCCAAAAAUCUUCAAUGAUGAUUCUCUAACCUUUUGAAUUAACCUAGUAAAAUCAGUUUCCACGUUUUGUUUCACAUAUUCUGGCAGGUGCUUGCUUCUGAACUUGAUGUCACCAGGAAGCUCAGGCACCACAAACAGCUUAGAAUCAGAAGAACUUUUCUUAUACGGCAUAUAUAUGUUCAAGCAAUCUAAAGUGCACAAAGAAAAGCAACUGAUGCCAUGAAAUACUAAUCUUGGAAUCCCAAAUUUGGUUGCAGCAUUAGUAGUCCAAGGAAGGAACAUGUCAAUAGUAAGACAAUCAGGGUGGCAUUCUUGUAGUAGCUUCUCAAGUGGUUGUUGGUGCAUGGUUGUUGCCAUGGAAAAAAAUUUGGUCAUUUCUCCCUCUAUCUCAUGAGAAGUGAUCAAAUCUGUGUUUUCGCAUCCUUCUGGCAAUCCAACGUCAACAGCAGGAAACUUGAUGGUUUUGAUAUUGAUAUCUAGGGGUGAGCAAAAAAACUGAGAAACCAAUUAAACCGAGAAAAAAAUAACCAAAAAAAUCGAUUAAACCGAUUAUUAUUUUUUUAAAAAUUUGGUUUGGUUUUGGUUUAAGAAACCUGAAACCGACCAAACCCCAACCGAAUCGAAUCAGUUCAGUUAAGGGGGUACUAUAAAUACAAAAAAUAAAAUGCUUUUUAAUUCUUAACCCUAGCAAUACCUGUCCGUGUCCAGCCACAAUACCCGUCCACGUCCAGUCGCCCCUUCUCAACCCUCACAAUUCACAGAUCUCAUUCUCAAGUCUCAAUCUCAGAAUCUCUCACACUCUCAGCCUAAUCAAAAAUAAUUUCCCCAUUAUCUAAUAAAAUCAAGUUAAUCAAUCUUCAUCUCAAUUCUCCUGACUCUUGUUAUCUACUGGUAAACCUUCAAUCUUCAUCAAAAGAUCUAACAAACGAGCCACAUCCCUCUCCCAGUCUCCCACACGGGCAUGAUACACACCACACCUAACCUCCAGAUCUAGCAAACCAAUCAUCUCCCUCUCUCACACCCGACCUUGAAUCUUGUCACACCAAGUAUGAUUUUUUUUUUAUCAAUCUCUGUUUUUUUUUUUUAACAUAUGCUUUGUGAUCUGUGUAUUUGUUAAAGUGGUAUAUUCUUACAAAAAAUCAGAAUUUAAGCUUAGAGUGAUAUUUUGGUUGAUUUGGGAUUCUGGAAAUAUGCUUAAAUUUAGAUCUGUUGUUUGUUUAUUAGAUCUGUUUUAGAUUGAAAUAAGUGGGUCAUCUGUUUUAACAUAUGCUCUAUGAUUCGACAUUCAUCCUGUCUCCCACAUUUAUGAAAAUACUUACAAUUAAUUUUCAUGAAUAUAUUCCAAGAAAGCAUGUAAAUACAAUUAAAAACAUGGUUUAUAUUCCUUGUGAUUCCUUAACCCACGGGCCACAGUUCAUUGUUCUUCAUUUCCUUUUGUUUUCUGUCUUUAUUAAACUUUUCUUAUGGACUAAUUUCUUGAAUUGUGUUUCACAUGUUUAUUAUUUAGCAAAUUUAUAAUAGUUUUUUAAUAAAUUGCUUAAAGUUAUUUAUAAAAUGAGAAAAAUAUCUUUAUAGAUUUUUGAAAGAAAUGUCUAUAUUUUAUUAGAUCCCACUAUUUCAAGAAUCAAGACCAUCCAUUGGCUCUUGGAUAGGAACAUAAAUGCAACAGCCUGGAAGCUGCUAAUUCUUCUUGAUUUUGGACAUUCUUAACCAGGACUCAAUUUUAUUAGCUGUUAUUGGAAAUUUUCCUGCGCUAAACCUAAUUAGCUAGUAAUCAUUCUAGUUCACUUGGUAUUUCCAAGUAUCCAGUUCUUCCUUUAUCUCUCGUACGUGUGAGUGAGGAAUGUAAGGAAAGGAAAACCUUAAUAUCUUUGCUUGUAGAAAUUUGGGAUCACUUUACAAAACUUGAUGUUGAUCCUAAAACCCCUAAAGCUGAAUGUAAUUAUUGUGGAAAACAUUAUACAUGUCAUACUAUUGUUAAUGGCACAAGUAAUAUGUGAAGUCAUUUAAAAGCGUGCAAAAAGUUUUCUUUUAUAGUUGAUAGGAAACAAAAAGUUUUGGUAUUAGAACCUAAGAUAGAGAAGGGUGAAUUGGGAGAUCAAAAUGUGGGAACUCUUAAGGCAAUAUGUUAUAAUUAUGAUGAAUGUAGACAAGCACUAGCAAAGAUGGUUAUAAUUAAUGAGUUGCCUUUUAAUUUUAUGGAGGGUCAGGGAUCUAAAUUGUUUGCUAGGACCAUGCAAUCUAGAUUUGACAUUCCUUCUCGUUUCACUAUUAUGAGAGAUUGUUUGAAACUUUAUGUUAAAGAGAAGGAUUGAUUGAGGACAGCUCUUAGGAGUCAACAAUUGUGCUUAACAAUAGAUACAUAGACAUCAAUCCAAAAUAUUAAUUAUAUGUGUUUAACAGCUCAUUAGAUUAAUAAUGAGUGGAAUUUGCAUAAAAAAUUCUCAAUUUUUGUCAAGUUUCCAAUCAUAUGGGUGAGAUAAUUGGUCAAGUUAUUGAUAAUUGUAUGUUAGAGUAGGGGAUUGAUAAAGUUUUGACUGUUACAAUAGAUAAUGCAAGCUCUAAUAAUGUGACUCUUUCAUUUUUGAAAAAUACGAUGAAAGAUUAGCCAACUAAUAUAUUGUCAAAUGAGCAUUUGCAUGUUAGAUGUUGUGCACACAUUGUAAACAUCAUUGUGUGUGAUGACUUGAAAGAGAUUAAUGUUUCAGUUGUUAAAAUUCGAAAUGCAAUUAGGUUUAUGAGAUCUUCACUGUCGAGGCAACUUGCAUUUAAGAAGUGUGCAGAAAAGUUGCAUAUAGAGUGUAAGAAAUCAUUGUGUUUAGAUGUUGCAACUCGAUGGAAUUCAACUUAUCUUAUGCUAGAAGCUGCUGCAAAGUUUGAAAAGGUGUUUGUGAAGUUAGGUGAAAAAGAACCUAGGUAUAUGAGUUACUUUUUGGAGGUUGAUUCAAAGGGGAAUAAAAAAAACAUAGGGCCAACUAGUUUGGAGGAUUGGGAAAGUGCUAGAACUUUGAUGAAGUUCUUAAAGAUCUUUUACAUGGUUACAUUGAGAUUUUUUGGCUCAUUACAUGUCACAUCAAAUUCCUUUUUCAAUGAAUUGAUUUACAUGCAUACAAACUUGUUGUCAUUGUGUAAAAAUAAAGAUAAUCUUUUAAGUGGAAUGACGAUGAAUAUGAUGUUAAAGUUUGAGAAGUAUUGGGGUUGUGAAGCAAAUUAGAAUUUUUUGUUAUAUGUGGCUAAUGUCUUAGAUCCAUGUUUCAAGUUGAAAUAUGUGAAAUUUUAUUUUGGUGACUUGUAUAAUUAUGACAAAACACAAUUGCUAACAAAUAAGGUGAAAGAUACUUUGGUGAGUUGAUGAAGUGGUGGAUAAUAAUAUGCAUAAACAAGAUGUUAAUGCUAUUGAUGAUAUGGAGGUAGAUGUUAACACUUUGGCUCGAUUCAAAAGACAUUUACAGGAGGAGGAUAGUGUGGAAAAUAGAAAUGAGGUUUAGAGGUAUUUGGUUGAUGGUUGUAAGGAUCUUAAUGAUGAUAAGUUAGAUAUUUAAGGUUGGUGGAAGAGUAAUGCUUCGAAUAUAAGACACUUUCAAAGGUUGCACAACAUAUUCUAGCUAUUCAUAUAUCCACAGUGGCUUCUGAAUCAGCUUUUAGCACAGAUAGUCCUAUACUCGAUCAAUUUCGAAGUUCUCUAUCUCCAGCAACAGUUCAAGCACUCAUUUGUUGUCAAAAUUGGUUGCAUCAUGGACCAAUUUCAACUGAUAUUAGAACCUUGAUAAAUGAUUUUGAAACCUACGAAAACCUUGAGUGAGGUAAUUUUUUUUAUAAACUUGCACCUUUUAUUUUGUGAUUUAAUUAAAAUGUUUUCAAUUGUCUAAUAUGUCUAAUUUUUUAUUUUAUAGAAUUUGGUGGAAAGUUACAUCUAGCAAUAGAUGAUAAUUAGUUCAAAAGUCUGUUGGAUAGUAAAAUACUACUUUUUUAUUUUUAUAUCUUCUAAUUUAAUUUAUCAUGUUAUAAUUCUAGAUUUUGAAUUCCAGGUUUUGAUGUCAAAGGUAUUAUGGAAUCAAAGUACAAUGUUCUUAAUGUGUUUUUCGAUUGGGAUAAUGUGCACAAUGAAGAUUUAUAUUUUUUGCAUGAAGUGUUUUAUGAUAAGGUUAUUUGUUGUUUUUUUAAGCCCUUUUGAAGGCAAUGCUUUGUAAUUUAAAUUUAAAUUUGGUAUGUGUUAUUUAAACUUUGAUGUAGGAGUCUUACUCCAAAAAAAAUAUUAAUUAGGAAGACUUGCAUCAUAUUGAACACAAUAUUGACACUAAUAAUGUAAUAUAAAUGAAUAUUCAGUGUUAAAAAAAUUAAAUAUAUUCUAGAAUCUUGUAACAAAAUUAGACAAUAUUAACAUCAAUUACAAGCCCAUCAGAAAAGCUCAUAAGAAAGCCCAAAAACAGCCCAAAAAACAAUACAGUUUUUUUCUUAUUUUUUUUGUUAAAUAACUGAAACCGGUCGGUUGGAACUAAUUUCGGUUUUUUUUAAAAAAUCAGUUUGGUUAUUCUAUAAGUAAAAACCGAACCGAACCGAAAAUGAUAACCCCAAUUGAUAUCAAAGCCCAAACCUUUUGACCUCUGGAUUGUUCUGGAAACAUGUUCGGUAUCAUGUGGCCAUUUGCCAUGAAGGGGAAGAAGAAGAUGUGUACCUGAUUCUCCUCACCACCCAUGUAUAUUCCUUGCAAUCAAAAGACUAAAAGAGGUGCUACUGACGCUGAUAAUUGGAGACAAUAACACCGUUAAGCCUUUCAAGAUGAACUGGAUUACUGGAUUAAGCAGAGAAGAAAAUGAUGAUGUUGCAGACAAGGAAUGUAAAGUCUAUUUUUCUAUGCGUGGGAUGUCUGAAGAAUGAGUGGCGCGUGUUGAGGUUUGGACAAUAUUACAAACCGGCUUUUAUAAAUUUGUAACCGCAAAAACUUGAACAUUUUUAGUGCUGUUCUUGUGUCAAGAAAUGCAUUUCAAGAAAUACCCGCUUUCUUUUCUUCAUCAUUUGUUCGGGAGGUGACCAAUGAAGUUGCUAUGGAUGAUGAUUCUUGUGUUUCGGCCACUGUCAUGAAGGAUAUAUAUCGUUAAUCAUUGUUCGGUAUCGGUUCCUUUUUCCUCUUACAUGUAUUUUUACGAGUAAUCACAACAUUAUGUGCUGGAACUGCAAAGGUGCAGGGAAACAGGAUUUCAAGACUAUAUAUUAUUGGUGAACUAGGGAGAAGAUGCAAACCUCAUUUUUCCUACUCGGGACUCAUUUUUCGUUGGUCAGAGCAGAGGAGGUUUCCACUGCAUUGGGUUUCGACACUGUUGUUAGAGUGGAUGCCAGGGGGUUUGCUGGUAUAUAGGCUUUAUGGAAUUCUCAGAUGAUUCACGUUUUGUUCAUGUUUAACUUUUGUCGGUGGUGGAUCAUGCUGGGCUGCAAUGGUUGUCCUAUGCGGUUUAUGCUAGUCCUCUUUCUGCUCUCAAUGAUAAAUUAUGGACUCGUCUCCAUGAAUUAUACUGCUGAUGUUCCAUGGAUCGGUAUACCCUGCAGAGAAGAAAAAUGAAAAAAAAUAUAAUAACAAUUAUUAUUAUUGUUAAAAAUAUUAUUAUUUGUCUUAUAAAUAUUUUUUUUAUUAUAAUUAAAAGUAAUAUAAUUAAAAAUAUUAUUAUCUGUAUUAUAAAUAUUAUUUUUUUUAGUACAAUUAAAAAUAUUAAUAUUACAAAUAGUAUUAUUUGUGUUAUAAAUAUUAUUAUGGAUCGGCAGACCUUGCCGAGAAGAAAAAUGAAAAAAUCAAUAUAAUAACAAUUAUUAUUAUUAUUAUUAUUAUUAUUAUUAUUGUUAAAAAUAUUAUUAUUUGUCUAAUAAAGAUUAAUUUUUUUAUUAUAAUUAAAAGUAAUAUUAUCUGUAUUAUAAAUAUUAUUAUUUUUAUUAUAAUUAAAAGUAUUAAUAUUAAAAAUAGUAUUAUUUGUAUGCAACAUCAUCAUUUUCUGCCCCAGCUAUUAAAAUGAUAUUAUUUGUAUGCAUAAUAUCAUUUUAAUGGCAGAAAAUGAUGAUGUUCCAUACAAAUAAUAUUAUUUUUAAUAUUAACACUUUUAAUUAUAAUAAAAAUAAUAAUAUUUAUAAUACAGAUAAUAUUACUUUUAAUUAUAAUAAAAAAAUUAAUCUUUAUUAGACAAAUAAUAAUAUUUUUAACAACAACAAUAAUAAUAAUAAUAAUUGUUAUUAUAUUGAUUUUUUCAUUUUUCUUCUCGGCAAGGUCUGCCGAUCCAUAAUAAUAUUUAUAACACAAAUAAUACUAUUUAUAAUAUUAAUAUUUUUAAUUGUACUAAAAAAAUAAUAUUUAUAAUACAGANNNNNNNNNNNNNNNNNNNNNNNNNNNNNNNNNNNNNNNNNNNNNNNNNNNNNNNNNNNNNNNNNNNNNNNNNNNNNNNNNNNNNNNNNNNNNNNNNNNNUAUUUUUUUUCAUUUUCUCUCUGCAGGGUAUACCGAUCCAGCCGCGUGCAUGGGCCUCUAAAUCCAAGGGCGGUUAAAAUAGAACUCGGCUACCGGGUCUGCACCCAGCGUGUGGGUCUGCUGGGCCUAUAAAUAGUUUCUAUGAGCUCGAGUCGGAUUAUGCUAAUUUUUUCAAGGAGUUAGGGAGGAAGGCAUGGCACAUAGGCCCAGUUUCGCUAUGCAAUAGAGAAUUUGAAGAUAAAGCACAGAGAGGAAAGGAAGCUUCAAUUGACGAACAUGAGUGUUUGAAAUGGCUGGACUCAAAGAAGCCUAAUUCAGUUGUUUAUAUAUGCUUUGGAACUGUAGCCAAUUUCAGUGAUUCUCAGCUAAAGGAGAUUGCAAUAGCUCUUGAAGCUUCAGGGCAGCAGUUUAUUUGGGUUGUCAGGAAAGACAAGAAAGCUAAGGAUAACGAGGAAUGGUUGCCUGAGGGAUUUGAGAAAAGAAUGGAAAGCAAGGGACUGAUUAUAAGAGGAUGGGCGCCACAAGUAGUGAUUCUUGAUCACGAAGCUAUAGGGGGGUUUGUGACUCAUUGUGGGUGGAAUUCGACCAUUGAAGGCAUAGCUGCCGGGAAGCCAAUGGUAACAUGGCCAGUUUCCGCAGAGCAAUUCUUUAAUGAGAAGCUGGUGACUGACGUGCUAAAAAUUGGUGUGGCUGUUGGUGUUCAACAAUGGGUUAACAGUAUACGGGGAUAAAAUUACGAGUGGAGCUGUAGAAAAGGCCGUAACUCGAAUCAUGACAGGUGAAGAAGCAAAGGAAAUGAGAAGCAGAGUUGAGGCCCUUGGAGGAAUGGCAAAGAGGGCUAUCGAAGAAGAUGGUUCAUCUUACUCUAAUUUGAAUGCUCUAAUUGAAGAAUUAAGAGGCAGGCGCCACUGAAAACAAGCAAGCAGUAGGAAGAUUUCAGAUUUUUAAGCUAUGGCAGGGAACUUGAUUUUAAGCUAUUGCAAUCUCCUUUAGCUGAGAAUCACUGAAAUUGGCUACAGUUCCAAAGCAUAUAUAAACAACUGAAUUAGGCUUCUUUGAGUCCAGCCAUUUCAAACACUCAUGUUCGUCAAUUGAAGCUUCCUUUCCUCUCUGUGCUUUAUCUUCAAAUUCUCUAUUGCAUAGCGAAACUGGGCCUAUGUGCCAUGCCUUCCUCCCUAACUCCUUGAAAAAAUUAGCAUAAUCCGACUCGAGCUCAUAGAAACUAUUUAGCAUAAUCCGACUCGAGCAUUAAGACGCGGCUGCUAUGAAGGAGCAGAGGGCAUGCGCAGGUUCCGAGAACGAGUUGACUCUUGUCAAGGUGGUGAGCUCGGUAAUGGCAUUGUAAUACUCAGAGUAUGAAGAUAGAUAUGGAUCAACCUUUAUGGGCUGCCCCCAUGGUUAAAGGUGGAAAGCUACCUGGACUCUUACGACUAAGAGCGAGAGACUCACGGAGAAGUAAGGCGUGGUUCCUAGGGUGGAACAGAGGGCAGGCGCAACUCCUGGAUGAGUAGACUCUUGGAAGAGUGGUGAGCUCGUGAUCAUAUUAAGAUACUCAGAUAAUGAUUGUCGCACUUGGAAAUGGUAAUUUCCGUUUGAGGGGGUGUUGUAAGCCUUGGUGUGAGGCUUGAUGAACCAUUCCGGACCGAGCAUGGUUGAUAUGCUCGAAGGGGAAUGCUGUGUAUCCCAGAGACAAGCGUUAACACUCUUCAGAUGUGAAGUGGCAGACCAUCUGGUUGUAGUGAUCCUUUUGUGUGAGAAAAGGUGUGCUUUGGUGACUCUGGUGAUGGUAAGGUUUGGCAAGUACCAUGUAAACUUGGCCGAAGAUGCUCUCAGAAUGGUAAGCUUGGAAGAGCUGCAAGAUGCAAGCCUGUGCUGAAGAAGCAAGAGGACAGUUGCCCCACAUGAAUGGCAAAGGGGGUGAUUGUUGGGUUAUUGCCAUUGCAUGUACAGCAAAUGGUUGGCACCAACCAUUGACUAUUGGCAGCCACCAUUUUCAAUGGUUAGGCAACCUACCAUGCCUAACCUUGCAGCCAUGUUUGACAGCAGAACAAGUGGAGCAGCUGCCAUGAAAUGCCUAUAAAUAGAGGCAUUAUGUGAGAAGCAAAAUGAGAGGAGUGAAAACGUGAGUGUGUGUAAGAGAGUGGAGAGAAAAGAGAGCUGCAAUGGCAGCAGCCUUGCUGCCAUUGCAGCAGCUGCAAGUGCAGCAGUUAAGAGCUGGGAGUUGAGAGAGUGAAGUGAUCCUCCUCCUCCAUAUAUAUUGUAAUCCUUUCUCUAUAUAUCUCAAUAAUAUAGACUCUCCCGUGGAUGUAGGCGGAUUUGCCGAACCACGUAAAAUAUUGUGUCAGUGUGCUAUCCCUCCUUUGAGCAAUUAUCAGUAUAUCCCCGGUCGGAAUUCCCAACAAUUAAGAGAUCGAUAGUCGGUGCAAAAAUGCCAACUACCAUCUUUUUUCUUCACUAGCAACACAGGAGAUGAGAAGGGACUGGUGCUAGGUCUUAUGUGUCCAGAAUUUAACAUUUCUUGGACUUAUUUUUUGAUUUCUGCCUUCUGGAAAUAAGCAUAUCGAUAGGGUCGAACGUUGACUGGCUCAAUUCCUUCAUUGAGGGGAAUGUUGUGGUCGAUUUCAUGCUUGGGUGGUAGUUGCAUAUGUUCUUUGAAGAUCUCAGUAUAUUUAUCUAAGAUCUGGCGCAUACUUGGUGAUUGACUCUCUUCUGGUUCAUGCAUGGUUGAUUGUGGACAGAUUGCAAAUACCGAAUGGCCUUGGCGAAAUUCUUUUGAAAUCUCCUUCAGUGAAGUGGCUUGAAUAGGCUAAUCACAAAAACCUUGUAGUUGUCGGGCCAUGUUAUCCCAAUAGAAGUUCAUGGUGAGAUUUCGACAAUUACAUAUCACGGACCCUAACAUUUCCAACCAUUGGACACCCAAAACAAUGUCUAAACCUGCUAGGGGAAGUGAGUAAAGCAUAAGUGAAAAAGGAAUUCCCUGAAGAAGAACCUGUACUUUUUCGAACUUUCCUUGACACUGUAGCAACCCGAACUGUAAAUGCCUUUGUUGGUACUCUGGUAGCCGCAGCAGAUCAACCAUGCGAGUACUCAUAAAAUUGUGGGUGGACCCACUGUCAAUUAGCACCACUAUUUCAAACAAACCCACUUUGGCAUCUACAUGCAUGGUUUUAGGUGCAGACCAUCCAGUUAAAGCAUGCAAAGUAAUCUCAGGUUCAACAUUUUCCCUUAUCACCUCUUCCACGUCAACUUCUUCAGUAACUUCUUCAUAUGUGAUUCCAUUGAUGUGAGUUGGGCCCUCUAGAAGCAAAAGCUACAUUCUUUGACAUUUAUGGCCGGUGGUGAACCUCUCAUUGCAAUUAAAGCAUAGUCCUUGGGCUCUACGUUUCUGCAUCUCUUCCCACGACAAUCUCCGAAAGGGUGCAUUUGGUAUUGCCCGUGUUGUUGUUGGUAGCGCCAAAAGUGUUCGAUUGACUAGAAUUGGCCUAAAAAAUUGACGUUGUCUUUUCAUAUGGUCAUCCUUCAUGCGAGCUAAGCUAAUUGCUACCUUCAGUGAUUGUGGUUUGAACAUACGAAUUCCUUCUGCAAUCUCCGGUUUAAGUCCUCCCAUAAAAGUCCCAACUAAAGCCUUUUGGGUCCAUUUACAAACUUGGUUUCCCAACUUCUCGAACUCACUCUGAUAAUUACAUAAGGAUCCUACUUGUUUUAUACGUGAUAAAGCUUCAUCAAAAUCCUCACAAUCUGUAGGUCCAAAUCUAGUCUAUAAUUCAUCUUCAAAAGUCUCUCAUGUCAUCAUUCACCCUUCCUCUCUGUAUGUCCGACGAGCCCAUUGCCACCACUAAUUUGCUUCUCCUUCCAAAUGGAAAGAAGCCAGUUACACCUUGUGGUCGGCUAGAGUAUUCUAAAAUUUAAAGAACUGGUCCACUCGAUCAAACCAUACUGUCGGGUCCUGUCCAGAAUAUCGUGGAAAUUCUAGCUUGCCCAUUAUAGAAGAAAAGACUUGUAUGUUCCCUUCAUUCUCCUCGUGAAUUGUACGAGAGUUUCCUUUUUGGUUUGAGUUGUCAUGGCUUGAUUCCCCUUUGCUUGAUAACAAAGCCUCUGAAAGUUUAUUGAUAGUUUCUUCUGGUUGAUGCAUUUUACCAUACAUGCUCAUCUUCAUUCUCUCUGUACUCCCUCUUGCACUCCACCUAGCCCAGCCUCCAACAUUUCAAUCCGCUCUUUGUUAGUCACCAUUAAACCAGGCUCUGAUAUCAAUUGAUAAGGUCUCAGUCAAAAGCCAAAUUCUAACAGCAAAAAAUAACACAAUUGUUCUCUUCAGGUGAGAAUGUACCACAAGAUAAAAUUAGGAUAGAAAUUAUAUUAUAUCAUUUCAUUUCUUUCCGGCGUUUAUUAAUACCUUCACUUCAACCACUAUUCGGAUAUACAGCUGAAAUCUAAAGUUCCACUACAACGGUUACAUUAUUAAAUUUACUGCAAAAUAGAACAGAAUAGAAACAAAAUGGAAACUAAUGCCUAACACUACCCCAUAACUAGUUGACGUGGUAAAGCCCUCGCGUCCUUAGCUGCUACAAUCAAGCCUUUGUGGAUCAGGUUUGUCCUGGUCUUACGCUUGCACUUCACUAUACUUGGGAUUCGGUUUUGUUGCUCUCUCAGAUCUUCGUGGCUUAUCAGCAUGCUUGUUUUCAGUGGCGCCUGCCUCUUAAUUCUUCAAUUAGAGCAUUCAAAUUAGAGUAAGAUGAACCAUCUUCUUCGAUAGCCCUCUUUGCCAUUCCUCCAAGGGCCUCAACUCUGCUUCUCAUUUCCUUUGCUUCUUCACCUGUCAUGAUUCGAGUUACGGCCUUUUCUACAGCUCCACUCGCAAUUUUAUCCCCGUAUACUGUAACCCAUUGUUGAACACCAACAGCCACACCAAUUUUUAGCACGUCAGUCACCAGCUUCUCAUUAAAGAAUUGCUCUGCGGAAACUGGCCAUGUUACCAUUGGCUUCCCGGCAGCUAUGCCUUCAAUGGUCGAAUUCCACCCACAAUGAGUCACAAACCCCCCUAUAGCUUCGUGAUCAAGAAUCACUACUUGUGGCGCCCAUCCUCUUAUAAUCAGUCCCUUGCUUUCCAUUCUUUUCUCAAAUCCCUCAGGCAACCAUUCCUCGUUAUCCUUAGCUUUCUUGUCUUUCCUGACAACCCAAAUAAACUGCUGCCCUGAAGCUUCAAGAGCUAUUGCAAUCUCCUUUAGCUGAGAAUCACUGAACUUGUCUACAGUUCCAAAGCAUAUAUAAACAACUGAAUUAGGCUUCUUUGAGUCCAGCCAUUUCAAACACUCAUGUUCGUCAAUUGAAGCUUCCUUUCCUCUCUGUGCUUUAUCUUCAAAUUCUCUAUUGCAUAGCGAAACUGGGCCUAUGUGCCAUGCCUUCCUCCCUAACUCCUUGAAAAAAUUAGCAUAAUCCGACUCGAGCUCAUAGAAACUAUUGACGACAAUCCCAUAACUCUUCAGUGAUGAUUCUCUGACCUUUUGAAUUAACCUAGUAAAAUCAGUUUCCACGUUUUGUUUCAUAUAAUCUGGCAGUUGCUUGCUUGUGAACUUGAUGUCACCAGGAAGCUCAGGCACCACAAACAGCUCAGAAUCAGAAGAAACUUUCUUGUACGGCUUAUAUCUGUUCAAGCAAUCUGAAGCGCACAAAGAAAAGCAACUGAUGCCAUGAAAUACUAAUCUUGGAAUCCCAAAUUUGGCCGCAGCAUCAGUAGUCCAAGGAAGGAACAUGUCAGCAAUAAGACAAUCAGGGUGGCAUUCUUGUAGUAGCUUCUCAAGUGGUUGUUGGAGCAUGGUUGUGGCCAUGAAAACUUUUUUGGUCAUUUCUCCCUGUGUCUCAUGAGAAGUGAUCGAAUCUGCGUUUUCGCAUCCUUCUGGCAAUCCAACCUCAACAGCAGGAAACUUGAUGGUUUUGAUAUUGAUAUCAAAACCCAAACCUUUUGACCUCUGGAUUGUUCUGGAAACAAGUGGUGCAUUGAGAGGAGUGGUGACAAUGGUUGCUUUCACUCCUCGAGAAGCAAAUAGCUUUGCCAUGUCUAUGGUUGGUAUCAUGUGGCCAUGUGCCAUGAAGGGGAAGAAGAAGAUGUGUACCUGAUUCUCCUCACCACCCAUGUAUAUUCCUGGCAAUCAAAAGACUAAAAGAGGUGCUAGUGACGCUGAUAAUUGGAGACAAUAAUACCGUUAAGCCUUUCAAGAUGAACUGGAUUACUGGAUUAAGCAGGGAAGAAAAUGAUGAUGUUGCAGACAAGGAAUGUAAAGUUUAUUUUUCUAUGCGUGGGAUGUCUGAAGAAUGAGUGGGGCAUAUCCGAGCACUGAGUAUUGAAUACUUCUUUCAAUUUGUGGUUAGAAAUUCCGCCUUAGACUACUGUUUUAACUUCAAAAGUCUGUGGUUUGGUUCUCUUAUCUAGAAAAUUGUGACUAAUGUAUUUUUAUAGACUUGAUUUUACAACUCUUUGAACAUUAUACUAUAUUUUUAAAAAGUGUGGGAAAAUAUUCUGUAUUUAUUAUGGAAUAGACUCAUUAUACUACACAUCAUAUAUUAAAUAUAAAGUGUUUUUACUGUAAAUAACAUUGUAACAUUAUGAAAGGGUUGUCUUUCUUAUUUUGUAAUAAAAAAAGUUUUGUUGAGUUUAGCUUGGCCGUCAGACCCAAUGCUGCUGUGUCUAGCUCAUACCCAAAACCAAGGCUAUCGAGUCACGAUUUUAGCCAGACUCAUCAAUAUUGGAACUGGCUAGGCAGUUGGGCCCAAUGUUAUUGGGUCUGGUUGGGUCGCCAGAUAUUUCUAAUUUUAUUUUUUUUCUAUAUUUUUUUUCAUACAGUAAAGAGAUAAUAAAUUGAUGGGACUUUUUUUAUAUUGUAUCAAAAUUGAGUGAUGAUAAUUUUUUUCAUUUUAAGGCUGGGUUGAAUUUUCUUAUUAGAGCAUAUUUGUUUUUACGUUUCAAAUAUGCUUUAAAAAAAUUGAAAAAUUUUAUUUUUUUCUUUAAUUCAAAUUAAUAUUUUUUUGAUAUUUGGGUAUUAUUUCGAUGUGAUGAUAUAAAAAAUCAAUGUUAAAAAAAAUAUUAUUUCAAUAUAUUUUUUUAAAAAAAUAACCAUUACGUAAUAAUAUAAUAACUAGCAUAUUGGCCUGCGUUUCGCAACGGGUCAAUAAUAAUUUUUUUUCAAAUGUAAAAAUGUUUUGAGUUUGGUUAAAAGCACGGAAUGUAUUUGCAUCAUCACUAUCUUUAAAUAAAGUAUUUUCUUCAGCAGCACCAUGAAUUGUACAAAGUAGAGCAGCGCUCAAUACACCGGCAACUAAUUUCUUUUCCUUUAAUAUUUUUCUUUUAAGAUAUUUCCAAUUUUAUUUUUUUUCCUCUUUAAAGUUUUUUUCUUUUCUCUUAUUAAAUUUUUAAAGAGGAAAUAAAUUGAUGUGACUCUUUUUAUAUUGUACAAAAGUUGAGUGAUGAUAUUUUUUUUUCAUUUCAGGUUAGGUUGAAUUUUCUUAUUAAAGCAUGUUUGUUUUUGCGUUUUAAAAAUGCUUUUAAAAAAAUUUGAAAUUUUUUUAUUUUUUUCUUUACUUCGAAUUAAUAUUUUUUGAUGUUUUUGUAUUAUUUUGACGUGAUGAUAUAAAAGAUAAAUUAUAAAAAAAAAUAUUAUCUCAAUAUAUAUUUUUUUAAAAUAGUAUUGUGGACAUAGACUCAUUGCACUAUAGACCAUACUAUAGACAUAGAGUGUUUGCACUGUGAACCACACUGUAGCACCUGGAGGGCGUUGUCUUUUCUGUUUAUUAGUAAAAAAAUAUUGUUGGGUCUGUUUUGGCUAUCAGAACCAACUUUAGUCAGCCGGACCCAAGGCUAUUGGUUAUGGCUGGGCCACCAUAUAUUUUCAAUUUUAUUUUAUUUUUUUGUCUCUUAAGAUUUUUUUUCUUUUUUCUUAUUUAUUUUUUUUUUCAUACGGUAGAGAGGAAAUAAAUUAAUGGGACUUCGCAGCCAAGCCAAAUCCAAGAUUAUUGGGUCUGGCUCUGCAGCAAGACCCAAGGAUAUUGGGUCUGGCUCUAGCUCCGCAACCAGACACAAGGCUAUUUGGUUUAACUCGACCACCAGAUCCAAGACACUUAAAAUCACGCUUUAUAUUUUUUUUACAUUUAAAAUAAAAAUUGUUAUUGACUGCUGCGAAGCGCAGGCCAAUAUGCUAGUGUGGUUUAGAAGGUGUUUGUGAGUGUGGUAGUGGUUUCUUUUCAAAGUGUUUUUCACUCGGAAAUGCAUUAAAAUAAUAUUUUUUUUAUUUUUAAAAAAUUAUUCUUAGUAUCAGCAUAUCAAAACAAUUUGAAAACAUAAAAAAAAAAUAUUAAUUUGAAAUAAAAAAUUAUUUUUUUUAAAAAACACUUUAAACUAUAAAAAUAAACAAGUUAUAAGAGUCAACUGAGAAGAAAGUCAGUCAUCAAUUAUUGAUGCAAGAGACGACUUGGACCCGUAGAGUGACUUUUUUUAGUGGACUUGAAUGGUCCCUUCGCAUUCUGCGACCUACCAGCAAUGCUUCAUCAGAUCCACUGCAAAUUUUUCCACUCUGCCAUUCUCUUUUGUUAAAAACCCUGACAGGCAACCCAUCAAGUGAGGACCGAGGUUUACAGUGGCUUAAGGUACUGGUUUAAAUGUUCUUAAUUAAAGAUGGAUAAAACAAAAGCUGUAUUUAACAUACAUCCGUGCAUUUUUUGAAUUUUUUUUAAAUAUUAUUGUGAUAUAUUUUCACACAAAAAAUAUUAAAAAUACAACCCGAUCCAUUACCAUCCCUUUAUUGACAUUAACCCAGAACAGUUGCUGCCCUGGAAAGCAGAGUCCAUGUGACAAGCUACGCAAAGUCUCAACUUUGCCUGCGAGAUUUCAGUUCUUGGAUCAAAGCAUCAGCAUUCUUACAAGAGGAUCCACCUUCUUCAACAGCUAUCUUCGCCUUCACUCCAUGUUUUUCAGCUCUUCUUCUCAUCUCGGCUGCCUCCUCGCCAUUGCCCAUCAGCCUCCUGCACUUUGUCUCUCCCCACUGAAACCCAUGACUCGGUCCUUGGCGACAUCCAGUGAUACUCCCCACUUUCACCCAUAAUUUCAACACAUCAGUGAUCAACUUCUCAUUGGUGAAUUGCUCUGCAGUUAUAGGCCAUGUUACCGUUGGCAUUCCAGCACUCACCUUCUAAAGUUGAGUUCCAUCCACAAUAAGUCACAAACCCUCCAACAGCCGGAUGCUUUAAUAUCAACAAUUGAGGAGCCAACUAUCUACGUUGUGGCCCAGUGGUAAGAGCUUGGGACCAAAAGGUUUGCUUCCUCUGUGGUCUCAGGUUCGAGCCCUGUGGUUGCUCAUAUGAUGGCCACUGGAGGCUUACAUGGUCGUUAACUUCAGGGUCCGUGGAAUUCGUCGAGGUGCGCGCAAGCUAGCCCGGACACCCACAUUAAACUAAAAAAAAAACAAUUGAGGAGCCCAGCCUCUUGUUAUUAGUCCUCUUCUGGAUUCUUUAAUUCUAUCUUCAAGCCCACUGGGAAGCAAAUUUUCUUUGCUUUCUCCAUUUUGUCCAGUUGAUUUAAGGAUUUUUCCUAUCACCCAGAUGAAUGGGUGAUUGGAAGCCUCAAGACCGUGGGCGAUCUCUAGGAAUUGUUCAGGGGCUAGACGAGCUAAGCUUCCAAAACUGACGUAAAGAACCGAAUCGAGUUCUUUACUGUCAAGCCAGCUCAAAAUGGUUUGCUCAUUAACUGAAGUCUUUUGGCCUCUCUCAGCCUUAUCUUCCACAUUUCUAUUGCAUAAUGAAACUGGUCCCACGAGCCAUGCCCUGUUGCCUAAUUCAUUCCUGUAGUAGUCCACAUAAGCAGUCUCCAAUUCAUAGAAACUAGGGGUGAGCAAAAAAACCGAGAAACCGAGUAAACCGAAUAAACCGAGGAAAAAAAACCGAAAAAACCGAACCGAAAAAAAAAACCGAUUAAACCGAUUUCUUUUUUUCAAAAAAUUUUCGGUUCGGUUCGGUUUCGGUUUCCGAAACCCGAAACCGGCAAAACCCCAACUGAACCGAACCGGUUCGAUUUAAGGGGUACUAUAAAUAGGAAAAAAAAAACACGUUCUAAUUUCUAAAACCUAAUUAACCCUAAACACUCUGCGACUUCGUCUCCUUGCAGCCGCUCCCUCAAUCCUCACAGCCGCACCUCACACAAUUCACAUUUUCACCCACUUUGUAACAAAAUCAAGUUAAUCCACCUUCGAUUCUUCAUCCAUAUCCUUCUCUGGCUCUCCAACGCCAUCUUCAUCUUCAAAACUAACAACCUAGCUAGUCAGCCACAUCUUUUUCCCACACGACCACGAGUCACAUGAUACACAGUACACACCCCAUCGGCACACUGAACCUCCAGAGUUCAAAUCUAGCAAACCAGUCCCUUCUUCUUUCACACCUGAACUCGAAUCGUGUCCCAACUCACACCAGGUAUGAUUUUUUUUUCUGUCAAUCUCUGUUUUUUUUUUUAACAUAUGCGAGUUUGAGCAUUUUGUGUAUUUUGGUUGAUUUUUUUUUUGCAUUAAUAAAUAUGUUAUUAUGUGUAGUGUGUAUUCUGUGAUUUAACGCAUGGAUGAUUUGUUUUUUUUUUUGUGCAUUCUGUCUCCAGAGUCCAAAUCUAGCAAACCAGUCCCUUCUUCUUUCACACCCGAACUCGAAUCGUGUCCCAACUCACACCAGGUAUGAUUUCUUUUUUCUGUCAAUCUCUGUUUUUUUUUUUUUUACAUAUGCUUUGUGAUUCUGUGUAUUUGUUGGUAUAUCCUUACAAAAAAAUCAGAGUUUGAGUAUUCUGUGUAUUUUGGUUGAUUUUUUUUCUGCACUAAUAAAUCUAUUAUUCUGUGUAGUGUGUGUAUUCUGUGAUUUAACGUAGGGAUGAUUUUUUGUGUGCAUUCUGUGUAUUCUGUAUGAUUCUGUAACUUUUGUUUUUAUGUGUUCUGUGUAAUGUGUAUUAUGUGUAAAGCCCCUCAUUGCCAUUCAUUUUGUAUUUUUGUUUAAUACUGUAAUGUGUGUUGUGUUUUUUGUAAUGUGAUUAUGUGUCCUAUAUUUAGUCAUUAAUUUCAUUAAUUCUGUCACUAAUUACAUGAAUAAUUCUGAUUAACAUAAUGGAUAUUUAAAAUUCUGUCACUAGUUGUUGAUUUUUUCUGGACUAUUUAUAAAAAGUUGAAACAACACCUCAAAGACAGAAAGGAAGAAAGAAAUUUGUUAAAAUCUGAUGAAGGAAAAUUUGAUGGUGUGAAUUUGAGACUUAGGCUUGGCAGUUUGCAGUGAACUUAUUGUUAUAAAAAUCUGUUGCUAUUUCCUGAAAUGACUAAGAAUCUGUUGCUUUUAUAAUAUAGUAUGUAAAUCUGUUCCUAGUGCAUCUCGAAAUAGACUGUUAAUCAGAAUUUCAAGGACAAUUUGAUGGUGUGAAAUGUGUAUUUGAGACUUAGGCUUGGCAGAUGGUAGUGAACUUAGGAUUGGCAGUGAACUUAGGCAAUGAACUUAGGCUUGGCAGAUGUUUUGGCUGAUAUUACUUUCCAUUUUGUUUUUUGUUUUUGCCUGACAUUUAAGUUUCUAUUAGUUUGAUAGUUUUUUUGAAUUUUAGUACAUUUAAAUCUAUUAUAAAUUAUGGGUUUUUAACAUGUUUUCAUUAUGUAAUAACAGAUGGAAACUACUCAAAUUCAAAAUGCUUCAUCCACGGGCACUACACCAACAUCAACCACUUCUCCAACUUCAAAAACUAUUGCAGAAUCAACCAAUGCAGGAUCCACCACAGAUACAAAAGGUAAACAACCUCAAGUCCUUACAUCUAGGAAAAGAAAUGCUGAAGAUAGAAAAAAGUCAUAAAUUUGGGAUCACUUUACAAAACUUGAUGUUGAUCCUAAAGCCCCUAGAGCUGAAUGUAAUUAUUUGUGGAAAACAUUAUGCAUGUCAUACUAUUGUUAAUGGCACAAGUAAUAUGUGGAGUCAUUUAAAAGUGUGCAAGAAGUUUCCUUUUGUGGUUGAUAAGAAACAAAAGGUUUUGGUAUUAGAACCUAAGAUAGAGAAUGGUGAAUUGGGAGAACAAAAUGUGGGAAGUCUUAAGGCAAUAGGUUAUAAUUAUGAUGAAUGUAGACAAACACUAGCAAAGAUGGUUAUAAUUGAUGAGUUGCCUUUUAAUUUUGUGGAGGGUCGGGGAUUUAAAUUGUUUGCUAGGACUAUGCAACCUAGAUUUGACAUUCCUUCUCGUUUUACAAUUAUGAGAGAUUGUUUGAAACUUUAUGUUGAAGAGAAGGAUAGAUUGAGGACAGCUCUUAGGGGUCAACGAUUGUGCUUAACAACAGAUACAUGGACAUCAAUCCAAAAUAUUAAUUAUAUGUGUUUAACAGCUCAUUGGAUUGAUGAUGACUGGAAUUUGCAUAAAAGAAUUCUUAAUUUUUGUCAAGUUUCCAAUCAUAUGGGUGAGACAACUCCAGGAUAGCGUGCGUGAUANNNNNNNNNNNNNNNNNNNNNNNNNNNNNNNNNNNNNNNNNNNNNNNNNNNNNNNNNNNNNNNNNNNNNNNNNNNNNNNNNNNNNNNNNNNNNNNNNNNNNNNNNNNNNNNNNNNNNNNNNNNNNNNNNNNNNNNNNNNNNNNNNNNNNNNNNNNNNNNNNNNNNNNNNNNNNNNNNNNNNNNNNNNNNNNNNNNNNNNNNNNNNNNNNNNNNNNNNNNNNNNNNNNNNNNNNNNNNNNNNNNNNNNNNNNNNNNNNNNNNNNNNNNNNNNNNNNNNNNNNNNNNNNNNNNNNNNNNNNNNNNNNNNNNNNNNNNNNNNNNNNNNNNNNNNNNNNNNNNNNNNNNNNNNNNNNNNNNNNNNNNNNNNNNNNNNNNNNNNNNNNNNNNNNNNNNNNNNNNNNNNNNNNNNNNNNNNNNNNNNNNNNNNNNNNNNNNNNNNNNNNNNNNNNNNNNNNNNNNNNNNNNNNNNNNNNNNNNNNNNNNNNNNNNNNNNNNNNNNNNNNNNNNNNNNNNNNNNNNNNNNNNNNNNNNNNNNNNNNNNNNNNNNNNNNNNNNNNNNNNNNNNNNNNNNNNNNNNNNNNNNNNNNNNNNNNNNNNNNNNNNNNNNNNNNNNNNNNNNNNNNNNNNNNNNNNNNNNNNNNNNNNNNNNNNNNNNNNNNNNNNNNNNNNNNNNNNNNNNNNNNNNNNNNNNNNNNNNNNNNNNNNNNNNNNNNNNNNNNNNNNNNNNNNNNNNNNNNNNNNNNNNNNNNNNNNNNNNNNNNNNNNNNNNNNNNNNNNNNNNNNNNNNNNNNNNNNNNNNNNNNNNNNNNNNNNNNNNNNNNNNNNNNNNNNNNNNNNNNNNNNNNNNNNNNNNNNNNNNNNNNNNNNNNNNNNNNNNNNNNNNNNNNNNNNNNNNNNNNNNNNNNNNNNNNNNNNNNNNNNNNNNNNNNNNNNNNNNNNNNNNNNNNNNNNNNNNNNNNNNNNNNNNNNNNNNNNNNNNNNNNNNNNNNNNNNNNNNNNNNNNNNNNNNNNNNNNNNNNNNNNNNNNNNNNNNNNNNNNNNNNNNNNNNNNNNNNNNNNNNNNNNNNNNNNNNNNNNNNNNNNNNNNNNNNNNNNNNNNNNNNNNNNNNNNNNNNNNNNNNNNNNNNNNNNNNNNNNNNNNNNNNNNNNNNNNNNNNNNNNNNNNNNNNNNNNNNNNNNNNNNNNNNNNNNNNNNNNNNNNNNNNNNNNNNNNNNNNNNNNNNNNNNNNNNNNNNNNNNNNNNNNNNNNNNNNNNNNNNNNNNNNNNNNNNNNNNNNNNNNNNNNNNNNNNNNNNNNNNNNNNNNNNNNNNNNNNNNNNNNNNNNNNNNNNNNNNNNNNNNNNNNNNNNNNNNNNNNNNNNNNNNNNNNNNNNNNNNNNNNNNNNNNNNNNNNNNNNNNNNNNNNNNNNNNNNNNNNNNNNNNNNNNNNNNNNNNNNNNNNNNNNNNNNNNNNNNNNNNNNNNNNNNNNNNNNNNNNNNNNNNNNNNNNNNNNNNNNNNNNNNNNNNNNNNNNNNNNNNNNNNNNNNNNNNNNNNNNNNNNNNNNNNNNNNNNNNNNNNNNNNNNNNNNNNNNNNNNNNNNNNNNNNNNNNNNNNNNNNNNNNNNNNNNNNNNNNNNNNNNNNNNNNNNNNNNNNNNNNNNUUGCUAACAAAUAAGGUGAAAGAUACUUUGGUGAGCUUGUAUGAGUUUUAUUUGAAAAUUGAUGAAGUUGUGGAUAAUAAUAGGCAUAAACAGGAUGUUAGUGCUAUUGAUGAUGUGGAGGUAGAUGUUAACGCUUUGGCUCGAUUCAAAAGACAUUUGCAGGAGGUGGAUAGUGUGGAAAAUAAAAAUGAGGUUGAGAGGUAUUUGAUUGAUGGUUGUGAGGAUCCUAAUGAUGAUAAGUUAGAUAUUUUGGGUUGGUGGAAAAGUAAUGCUUUGAAAUAUAAGACACUUUCAAAGGUUGCACAACAUGUUCUGGCUAUUCCUAUAUCCACAGUGGCUUCUGAAUCAGCAUUUAGUACAGGUGGUCGUGUACUUGAUCAAUUUUGAAGUUCUCUAUCUCCAGCAACUGUUCAAGCACUCAUUUGUUGUCAAAAUUGGUUGCAUCAUGGAUCAAUUCCAACUGAUAGUAGAAGCUUGAUAAAUGAUCUUGAAACCUAUGAAAACCUCGAGUCAGGUAAAUUUUUUUUAGAAACUUGCACCUUUUAUUUUGUAAUUUAUUAAUUAAAUUGUUUGCAAUCAUCUAACAUGUCUAAUUUUUUAUUUUGUAGAAUAUGGUGGAAAGUUACAUUUAGUAACGGAUGAUAAUUAGUUCAAAAGUUAUUUUGAUGGUAAAUUACUACUUUUUAUUUUUACAUAUUCUAAUUUAUUUUAUCAUGUUAUAAUUUUAGAUCUUGAUUUUCAGGUUUUGAUGUCAAUGGUAUUACGGAAUCAAAGUCCAUUUUGAUUGGGAUGAUGUGCCCAAUGAAGAUUUAUAUUUUUUGCAUGAAGUGUUUUUUUUUUUAUGGCAAUGUUUGUUUUUUUUUAAAGCUCUUUUGAAGGCAAUGCUUUGUAAUUUUAAUUUUAAUUUGGUGUGUGUGUUAUUUUAACUUUGAUGCAUGAGAAGUCUAAAACACAAAUAUUAGAAAGACUUGCAACAUAUUAAACACAAUAUUAGCACUAAUAAUUUAAUAUAAAUGAAUAUUUAGUGACAAAAAAUAUUAAAUAUAUUAUAGAAUUUUGUAACAAAAUUAGAUAAUAUUUACAUCAAUUACAAGCCCAUUAGAAAACCCAUUAGGAAGCCCAAAAAGGCUCAAAAAAGCCCAAAAAAGCCCAAAAAAACAAUAAUACAGGUUUUCCGGUUUUGCUGUAAAAAAAACCGAACCGAACCGAACCGAAACCGGUCGGUUUGAACCGGUUCCGGUUCGGUUCCGGUUUGAAUUUUCCAGUUUUCUAAAAUUUGAUUUUGGUUAGUUUUUUUAGCUAAAAACCAAACCGAACCGGAUUUGCUCACCCCUAAUAGAAACUAUUAACCAUAACACCGAAACUCUUCUCAUCGGAUCCUGGCAUUCUUUUUUGCAACCCUCCACCAUUUGGUGGUCUUCCAAGGAAUGGUAACUGGGACGUGGUCAGUUCAAUCCUAUCAGGAAGACCUGGAACAAUAAAAGGCUCCAAAUCAGAAGUUACCUUCUCAUGUGCAGAUCCUUGCUGCCUAUGGUCCAUCCUCUGUGAGAGAGUUUCGAUGUAUCCAGGUCUACACAGGAUGUCAAGUUUCACAAAACUACCAUGUGUUUUGUUGAAUGUGCCUGCGCUGCCCUUCAAGAAAACAUUCCAUGCUUUCUACUUACUAACAUUUAUGAUGAAGAUUGACUGUAAUCCUAUUAAUUUUCCUAGAAAGGGACCUUUUUUUUUUGUUUUUUGGUCAAAAGUAAAAUUCCUUCCCUGUCCAUUCAAUGUGACUGACUCACUGGUGGAUGUCAUGAAGAUUUUGUGCUUUUCAGCUUGGCUCCUAUUUUCUUUAAUCUAGUAUUCGCAAGAAAAACACCAUUUUAGGUUUGUCACCCUGAAAAGCCGACUGUAAUGUAAAUCGACAAUGAGAUGGUCUGGGCUGCAGGGUUUACGCUGGAUCAUGAGCUUGUAUUUGAUUGAUUUUUUGGGCUAAAUAUAUGAGAUGGACUUCUCAUUCAUAGACCAUAGGAAUGGAGCUGAUUUGAAGCAGUGAUUCGUGUUUGAAAUGAAGGCUAAUGCUAACAAGAUCUCUUGAAGGUACAAUCUUUAAAAGACGGGAUACUGAGAGUUGGGAUCAAAAUUACUGUAGAUUGCGGGUAAAUGGAUAACAUAGUAUCUUUUCAAUGUGGGAUUUGAAGCCCUUUCAUAUAUAUAUACUAUGUUCCCAUGAAAAAAACCAUGUUUUUUCAAUGUGGGAUAAAAAACCUUUUGGUUUAAAUACUUCAACUUAAAAGGAUAACACGAUAUCUUUUCAAUGUGGGAUUUGAAGCCCUUUCAUAUAUAUAUUCUAUGUUCCCAUGAAAAAAACCAUGUUUUUUCAAUGUGAGAUUUAAAACCCAUUAGUAUAUAUACUCUAUGUUCCCAAGAAAAAAAUUAUGUUUUUUCAAUGUGAGAUAAAAAACCUUUUGGUUUAAAUACUUUAAGUUAAAAGGAUAAUAUAUUAUCUUUUCAAUGUGGGAUUUGAAACCCUUUCAUAUAUAUACUCUAUGUUUCCAUGAAAAAAGUUAUGUUUUUUCAAUGUGAGAUUUGAAACCCAUUAGUAUAUAUACUCUAUGUUUCCAAGAAAAAAGUUAUGUUUUUUCAAUAUGGGAUAAAAAACUUUUUUAGUUUAAAUACUUUAACUUAAAAGCUUAACAUAAUAUCUUUUUAAUGUGGGAUAAAAAAAAAAUUUAAAAUAUUCUUUUAAACUUCAUAAUAUGUAUAAUCUAUAUUUACAUGAAUUUUUUCAUAUGAAAUAUUAAAAUUUUAAUUUUUUUUUAAUUUUUCCGGGUUGACCUAUAAAACCCGGAAUCCGGUUCCUUGGCCGAAUCAACCCCGAACCGGGUUUAAUAACUAUGGUAUGAACUUUGGAUCCGCACAAAACAAAUUUCCUUAAAAGUUAAAAGUGGCGAGAGAGUUACUGCAAAAUUAAGAGAAUAAUAACGUCCACUACCGCAUUAUAUUUUUUUUUUUCACUUAUUUUUCUUUGUUUAUUACUAAAUAAGGAUAAUAAUUUAAUCCAUUCAAGACGGUUAUCGAUCCCGAACCAAACAUAUAUAUAUAUAUAAUAAAUAGUACAUGAUCCAAAGUAAAAUCAGUUAGAUUAGGAAUUUUGUUUACACCUCUCUCCUAGAUAAUAAAUAGUACAUGAUCCAAAGUAAAAUAAGAAUAUGUUCCUCCUAGAACAAAUUAUAUUUAAUGAUUGCCCAAUUCCGUGAUUAAUAGCUCCCAGUAUUGCACCUGCAAGCGUAGAACACUCAAGACGACUUCUUUAUUAUGACAUACGCUCUUACAUCACGACCCUAAGUAGAAGACAAAAGAGUGAUACACUCAAGACAACUUCUUGAUUCCUGAAGGCGGUAGAGGCUUGAAGCCUUGAACUAGUAAUACAUUCAUGAAUGUGUGAGCUCCCAUGAUGCUCGAACACAACUUCACUUUUUUCCUACCCUAUAUUUUCACGCUUUUAAAAAAAAUAGAGUACAAAAUACAAAACUUUAUACAGCAGCAGCAGUAAGCAGGUAUUUUUUAUUUAAAAAUGUAUCCAUAUAUGCUUUUCUUUUUUGUAUUCGGGAGCUUCUUCAACCUCUGCUUUGCUUUAUAACCAAGCUUUGUGAGCAGAGAUUGGCUUAUUCACACUGCACCAAAUUUCACUGAAGCAUGCAGUUUGUUUGCAUACAAGAAGCACUGAAUGAGAGCUGGCAAUCAACCUUAAAAGAAAGAGAUUAAGGGAGAUGGUAAGGGUUCAAAGCAUGUAAAAAAUAAUUCAUCAGGAACAUGCGCUCUCCUCUCUCACUAAACAACAUUCUAUAAAAUCAAGUCCCCUGCCAUAGCUUAAAAAUCUGAAAUCUUCCUACUGCUUGUGAUAAGGUCCCAUUGGGGUGUUCAUUUUCGAUUCGGUUCGGUUUUUAUCAAAAAAAGUAACCAAACUGAAUUUUUUUAAAAAAAAAACAACCGAAACCGAUUCAAACCGACCGGUUUCGGUUUGGUUUUUUAGAACAAAAACCGGUUCAAACCGGUUUGGCUCGGUUUUUUCCGGUUUGGCUCGGUUUUUCGGUUUUGGCUCGGUUUUUUCCGGUUUGGCUCGGUUUUUCGAUUUGGCUCGGUUUGUUUGGUUUUGGCUCGGUUUUUUCCGGUUUUUUCGGUUCGGUUCGGUUUUUUUUGUUCCAGGCUUAAAAAACCGAACCGAACCGGUCGGUUUUUUCAAAAUUUUAAUCGGUUUUUUUUCACGGUUCGGUUUUUUCGGUUAAUUUUUUUUCCGGUUUUCUCGGUUUUUUGGUUUUUUUUAACAUCCCUAGGUCCCAGUCAAAAGCCAAAUUCCAACAGCAAAAAAUAACACAAUUGUUCUCUUCAGGUGAGAACGUACCACAAGAUAAAAUUAGGAUAGAAAUUAUAUUAUAUCAUUUCAUUUCUUUCCGGCAUUUAUUAAUACCUUCACUUCAACCACUAUUUGGAUAUACAGCCGAAAUCUAAGGUUCCACUACAACGGUUACAUUAUUAAAUUUACUGCAAAAUAGAACAGAAUGGAAACAGAAUGGAAACUGAUGCCUAACACUACCCCAUAACUAGUUGACGUGGUAAAGCCCUCGCGUCUUUGGUUGCUACAAUCAAGCCUUCGUGGAUCAGGUUUGUCCUGGUCUUACGCUUGCACUUCACUAUACUUAGGAUUCGGCUUUGUUGCUCUCUCAGACCUUCGUGGCUUAUCAAUACCCCCUAGAAAGUGGAACCUUGUCCUCAAGGUUCAAGUGUGGAAACUGAUGACACAGUGAUUCAGUCACUUCCCAGGUAGCCUUCUCUAAUGGUAAGUGCUUCCAUUUCACUAGACUUUCUGCAAGGAACUUACCACCUUGCUUCACCCAACAAUAAUCAAGGAUAGUCUCAGGUUCUAAUACAACCUCACCCUUAUCUGAAACUGGCGGAAGAUCUGUGUGUGUCACGGUUGCAUCUACCAUAUAUUUCUUCAAUAAUAAAACAUGAAAGACAGGAUGGAUACGUACACCCUCAGGUAACUGUAGUUUGUAAGCCACGUUGCCCACCUUUUGUAGAAUUGGAUAAGGGCCAAAGAAUCGGCUAGCUAAUUUCUGGUGUACCCUUUUGAAUGCAGAGCUUUGGCGAUAAGGUUGUAGCUUGAGGAAAACCAUAUCAACUUCUUGAAAGGACACAUCCCUCCGCUUCUUGUCAGCAGUCUUUUUCAUGCAAUUGGUUGUAGUGGCCAAGUAGUGUUUGAGCUGUAGCAGAAGCUCAUCACGGUGUAGAAGAGUCUGUUUCACAUUCGUGAACUGGUGUUAAGCCAUCAAAAUAUUCUGGAAUGGUGGCCGACCAUAAAGUGCCUGGUAUGGUGUCAUUCCAGUGGGAUGCAUGGAAAGUAGUAUUAUACCAGAACUCUGUCCAUGGCAAGAAAGAAUGCCAUUUAUGGGGCCAUUGAUGGACAAAGCUUCUUAAAUACUAAUCCAGACAGCGAUUGACUACCUCUGAUUGGCCAUCUGAUUGUGGGUGGUAUGCUGAACUCAUUUUCAGCUUGGUGCCAAACAUUGUAAAAAAUUCCUACCAAAACUUGCUGAUAAAGAUGGGAUCACGGUCACUGAUAAUAGACUUAGGCAUUCCAUGCAAUUUGACCACGCCUUUAACAAAUUUGUCCGCCGCUAUUUUAGCCGUGAAAGGAUGAGAUAACGACAUAAAAUGAGCAUAUUUACUCAAUCUAUCCACCACCAUAAAUAUUGUAUCCUUACCCUAUGAAAUUGGCAGGCCAGCAAUAAAAUCGAUAGUAAUAUCGUCCCAUACCUGACAUGGAAUAGAUAAAGGUUGGAGUAGUCCUCCUAGUGGCAAUGUUUCUGAUUUAGUUCUUUGUUAUAUGUCUCAGCGCUUCACGUAGUCUUGAAUAGUUUUGUACAUUGAAGGCCAAUAGAACUGUGUGGCCACUUUUUUAAAAGUGCGUAAGACUCCAGAGUGACCCACUAUUUUUGUAUCAUAGGCUUCAUAUAUCAACUUGUUGCGUAGAUUGAGAUUGGAAGGAACCACAAUUCUGCCUUUAAAAAAAAGUUAAACCUUUUCGUUGAGUAAAGGGCCCUUCCGGUUGAGUUUGAGUCAGAUUGUUAACAACAGCCAUAUAUUUAUCUCUUGUGGCAGCCUGUUUAAGUUCUUCCCAAAUAUCAAGUUGUGGCACGAACAAGUGAUUGAGAGUGGGACUGUCAGGUCGACGAGAGAUUGCAUCCGCAGCAGAAUUUUCACGACCUGGUCGGUACUGAAUCUCAUAGUCAUACCCCAAUAAUUUAGCAACCCAUUUAUGUUGUUCUGGCAUAGUAAUUCUUUGUUCCAGUAGAUAUUUGAGACUUCUUUGAUCGGUUUGAAUAAUAAAUCGUCUCCUCAGCAAGUAAGGACGCCACACGCGUAUGGCUUCCACAACAGCAAGCAUUUCCUUCUCAUACAUAGACCACGAUUGUUUUGAAACACCGAGAGCUCGACUCAUAAAAGCAAUAGGUUUGCCUUGUUGUUACAAAACUGCCCCAAUUCCAUUACCUAAAGCAUCGGUUUCCACGGUGAAAGCUUCAUUAAAAUUUGGCAUGGCUAAGAUAAGUGUGGUGGUCAUGGCCUUCUUAAGUGUAUGAAAUGCAUCCUCUGCAUCAUCAUUCCAGCCAAAUUGCCCUUGUUUUAGAAGGUUUGUGAGAGCCCGAGCAAUUAGACUAUAAUUCCGAACAAAUUGCAGUAAUAACCUAUCAACCCCCGAAAUCCACGCAGCUCAGAAAUAUUAGAAGGUUGUGACCACGCCACCAUGGCAUUAAUUUUUUUGCCAUCGAACUUCACCUCUUGAUGAGAUACCAAAUGACCCAAAUAUUCUAGCUCUUGCUUACCAAAUGCACAUUUACUAGCCUUGAGAAAGAACUGUUGUUGCUUCAAAAUUUCCAAAGUUUGAGUGACAUGAUAUAAAUGCAUUUCGCAAGUAGGGCUAUAGAUCAAGAUGUCAUCAAAAAAUACCAAUAUGAACUUUCAUAAAUAGGGCCGAAAAAUAGCAUUCAUAAUAGCUUGAAAUGUAGAUGGUGCAUUACUCAAGCCAAAUGGCAUAACUAGAUAUUCAUAAUGAUCGUUGUGUGUACGAAAAGCAGUCUUAUGAAUAUCUGAAGGGUGCACUCGUACCUGAUGGUACCCAGCUUUUAGAUCUAAUUUGGCGAAGUAUGCGGCCCCAUGCAGUUCAUCCAACAUAUCUUCCACUGUAGGAAUUGGAAACUGGUCUUUGAUAGUAACUGCAUUAAGAGAUCGAUAGUCGGUGCAAAGACGCCAACUACCAUCUUUUUUCUUCACUAACAACACAGGAGAUGAGAAGGGACUGGUGCUAGGUCUUAUGUGUCCAUAAUUUAACAUUUCUUGGACUUAUUUUUCGAUUUCUGCCUUCUGGAAAUAAGCAUAUCGAAAGGGUCGAAUGUUGACUGGCUCAAUUCCUUCCUUGAGGGGAAUGUUGUGGUUGAUUUCAUGCUUGGGUGGUAGUUGCAUAGGUUCUUUGAGGAUCUUAGUAUAUUUAUCUAAGAUCUGGCGCAUGCUUGGUGAUUGACUCUCUUCUGGUUCAUGCAUGGUUGAUUGUGGACAGAUUGCAAAUACCGAAUGGCCUUGGCGAAAUUCUUUUGAAAUCUCCUUCAAUGAAGCGACUUGAAUAGGCUGAUCACAAAAACCUUGUAAUUGUCGGGCCAUGUUAUCCCAAUAGAAGUUCAUGGUGAGAUUUCGCCAAUUACAUAUCACGGACCCUAACAUUUGCAACCAUUGGACACCCAAAACAAUGUUUAAACCUGCUAGGGGAAGUGAGUAAAGCGUAAGUGAAAAAGGAAUUCCCUGAAGAAGAACCUGUACUUUUUCGAACUUCCUUGACACUAUAGCCUUGCCCCAUUAGCAACCCGAACUGUAAAUGCCUCUGUUGGUACUACUGGUAGCCGCAGCAGAUCAGCCAUGCGAGUACUCAUAAAAUUAUGGGUGGACCCACUGUCAAUUAGCACCACUAUUUCAAACAAACCCACUUUGGCAUCUACAUGCAUGGUUUUAGGUGCAGACCAUCCAAUUAAAGCAUGCAAAGUAAUCUCAGGUUCAACAUUUUCCCUUAUCACCUCUUCUACGUCAGCUUCUUCACUAACUUCUUCAUAUGUGAUUCCAUUGAUGUGAGUUGGGCCCUCCAGAAGCAAAAGCUGCAUUCUUUGACAUUUAUGGCCGGUGGUGAACCUCUCAUUGCAAUUAAAGCAUAGUCCUUGGGCUAUACGUUUCUGCAUCUCUUCCCACGACAAUCUCCGAAAGGAUGCAUUUGGGAUUACCCGUGUUGUUGUUGGUGGCGCCAAUAGUGUUCGAUUGACUAGAGUUGGCCUCAAAAACUGACGUUGUCUUUUCAUAUGGUCAUCCUUCAUGCGAGCUAAGCUAAUUGCUUCCUUCAGUGAUUGUGGUUUGAACAUACGAAUUCCUUCUGCAAUCUCCGGUUCGAUAGGGUCAAACAUUUCCAACCAUUGAACACAAUAUUGACACUAAUAAUGUAAUAUAAAUGAAUAUUCAGUGUUAAAAAAAUUAAAUAUAUUCUAGAAUCUUGUAACAAAAUUAGACAAUAUUAACAUCAAUUACAAGCCCAUCAGAAAAGCUCAUAAGAAAGCUCAAAAACAGCCCAAAAAACAAUACAGUUUUUUUCUUAUUUUUUUUGUUAAAUAAUUGAAACCGAUCGGUUGGAACUGGUUUUGGUUUUUUUAAAAAAAUCAGUGUGGUUAUUUUAUAAGUAAAAACCGAACCGAACCGAAAAUGAUAACCUCAAUUGAUAUCAAAGCCCAAACCUUUUGACCUCUGGAUUGUUCUGGAAACAUGUUCGGUAUCAUGUGGCCAUGUGCCAUGAAGGGGAAGAAGAAGAUGUGUACCUGAUUCUCCUCACCAUCCAUGUAUAUUCCUUGCAAUCAAAAGACUAAAAGAGGUGCUAAUGACGCUGAUAAUUGGAGACAAUAAUUAAUACCGUUAAGCCUUUCAAGAUGAACUGGAUUACUGGAUUAAGCAGAGAAGAAAAUGAUGAUGUUGCAGACAAGGAAUGUAAAGUCUAUUUUUCUAUGCGUGGGAUGUCUGAAGAAUGAGUGGGGCAUACAUGAGCACUGAGUAUUGAAUACUUCUUUCAAUUUGUGGUUAGAAAUUCCGCCUUAGACUACUGUUUUAACUUCAAAAGUCUGUGGUUUGGUUCUCCUAUCUAGAAAAUUGUGACUAAUGUAUUUUUAUAGACUUGAUUUUACAAUUCUUUGAACAUUAUACUAUAUUUUUAAAAAGUAGGAAAAUAUUGUGUAUGACCUGCCCAACGCCCAGGCCAGGCAUGCAAGCACCAGCUAUCCGUAACCUUAGUGGACGUGUCUCCAGUCUAAUGCUUGGGGCUGCAUGCAGCCUCUCAUGCCCCCACCAAACAUAAUAAAAAUAAUAUUGUUUUUAAUAUUAAUAAUAUUAUUUUUAAUAUUAAUACUAUUAAUUAUAAUAAAAAUAAUAAUAUUUAUAACACCAAUAAUACUAUUUUUUAUAUUAAUACUUUUGAUUAUAAUAAAAAUAAUAAUAUUAAUAACACAAACAAUACUAGUUUUAAUAUUAAUACUUUUUUAUAUUAAUACUUUUGAUUAUAGUAAAAAUAAUAAUAAUAAUAACACAAACAAUAUUAUUUUUAAUAUUAAUACUAUUUAUUGUACUAAAAAUACUAAUAUUUAGAACACAAAUAAUACUAUUUUUAAUAUUAACACUUUUAAUUAUAAUAAAAAUAAUAAUAUUUAUAAUACAGAUAAUAAUAUUUUUAAUUAUAUUACUUUUAAUUAUAAUAAAAAAAUUAAUCUUUAUUAGACAAAUAAUAAUAUUUUUAAUAAUAAUAAUAAUAAUAAUAAUAAUAAUAAUAAUAAUAAUUGUUAUUAUAUUGUUAUUUUCAUUUUUCUUCUCGGCAAGGUCUGCCGAUCCAUAAUAAUAUUUAUAACACAAAUAAUAAUAUUUGUAAUAUUAAUAUUUUUAAUUGUACUAAAAAUAAUAAUAUUUAGAACACAAAUAAUACUAUUUUUAAUUAUAUUACUUUUAAUUAUAAUAAAAAAAUAUUUAUAAGGCAAAUAAUAAUAAUAAUAAUAAUAAUAAUUGUUAUUAUAUUUUUUUUUCAUUUUUCUUCUCUGCAGGGUAUACCGAUCCAGCCGCGUGGGCCUCUAAAUCCAAGGGCGGUUAGAAUAGAACUCGGCUACCGGGUCUGCACCCAACGUGCGGGUCUGCAGACCCCAGGGUUGCAGGGCUGACCCGCUCAGCCUGGGACUGCAGCCAGGCGAGCGGGUUUGCCCCCAGUGCCCAAGGCUGGGCAGACCAAGCGUCAGGUGGCUGCAGCUUAGGGCGCAGCCAGGCGGGCGUGGCCUGCCCAACGCCCAGGCCUGGCAGCCAAACAACAAGUGUCUGCAGCCCUAUUGGGCAUGCCUCCAGCCUGGCAUUUAAAUCCUGUAGGCUGCAGUCUCACCAUAUUUCUACCAAACAGUGCAGUUUAUAAUGAAAGUACUCGCAACUUAUACUACCUGCGUGUAGAACAAUAUAAUCUACAGUAAAAAUACUCACAAUACACAAUAACUCGCACAUCAAUAAAACACUGAUAAGUUGUAGUUGUAGUUAAUGUGCUCCAUUCUUUACGCAAAACACAAGCAGUUUUAUGGCAUGUUGGAUUGCAGGAGAAAGAAUACCCUAUAUAUAUAUAUAAAAGUUGAUAUCAAAAUAUCCAAAAAAUAAUUCAAAGCAAAGAAAAAUCAAUUUUUUUUUUUUUUUUGUAAAAACACUUUAGAACAGCAAGAAUAAAGGUGGCCUUUGUCAGGGAAAGAUUACAAGCUUAUAUAAAUGAGCUAUGAAACCGUGGAAAGGGACACUUGAAAGCUUAUCUGGGAGAUAUGUUGUGCAGAUCCUUGCUGCCUUUGGUCCAUCCUCUGUGAGAGAGUUUCGAUGUAUCCAAGGUCUACACAGGAUGUGUUGAGUUUCACAAAACUACCAUGUGUUUUGUUGAAUGUGCCUGCGCUGCCCUUCAAGAAAACAUUCCAUGCUUUCUACUUACUAACAUUUAUGAUGAAGAUCGACUGUAAUCCUAUUAACAUUCAAUGUGACUGAUUCACUGGUGGAUGUCAUGAAGAUUUUGUGUUUUUCAGCUUGGUUCCUAUUUUCUUUAAUCUAGUAUUCGCAACCAUGAAAUGAUUGUUGCGAGGAAGAAAAAGGGAAAAAAAUGUUUAUUUAUUUUUAUAAGAAAAACGCCAUUUUAGGUUUAUCACCCUUAAAAGCCGCCUGUAAUGUAAAUCGACAAUGAGAUGGUCUGGGCUGCAGGGUUUACGCCGGACCAUGAGCUUGUAUUUUAUUGAUUAUUUGGGCUAAAUAUAUGAGAUGGACUUUUCUGCUGCUUCUGCAUUUAGCAAUAACAACUCAUUCUUUUAAAAAAAGAAUUAAAAUCGCAACUUUAUUAAUUUGUAAAUGAGAUUACAUUAUAAAGGAAAUGAUGAAUACUGUAAAUCGCCAAAACCAUUACUCUUGUCUGCCUUGUUUCACGGGCGACGCCACCUCAGCUCUUCAAUCAAAGCAUUGAAAUCAGAGUAAGAAGAUCCACCUUCUUCAACAGCCUUCCUGGCCGUUUGUCCUAGCUUCUUUGCUCUGCUCCUCAUUUCCUCUGCCUCUUCACCCACCAUAAUUUGAGUGAUUUUCUUCUCUACAGCUUCACUUUUAACAUGAUCUCCAUGCACUCUAAGCCAUUCCUUGACUCCAACACCAACUCCAGUUUUCAAAACAUCAGUCACCAACUUUUCAUUAUAGAAUUGCUCAGCAAAUAUUGGCCAUGUAACCAUUGGUUUCCCUGCAGUUAUGCCUUCAAGAGUUGAGUUCCAUCCACAAUGAGUCACAAAUGCCCCUAUUGCUUCAUGAUCAAGAAUCAAAACUUGGGGUGCCCAUCCUCUGAUAAUUAGUCCCACGCCUUCCAUUCUUUCCCCAAAUCCUUCAGGUAACCAAUCUUCCUUGUCUUCUUGACCCUUUUUGUUUCUUCUAACUACCCAGAUAAACUGCUGACCAGAAGCUUCGAGACCUGCUGCAAUCUCCUUAAG
rnacentral:lncRNA from 1 species